rnacentral:lncRNA from 1 species
UAAAGUCCCAAUUCAGCUGAACAAAUGAGUUGAUUUCUAAGGCUGGAAGAGUUCAACGUUUUUAGUAGAUAAUGACUUAAAUUCUCUUCAUUAAAUCAGCCUUGAGAAUCCUAAUGAUCAGCAGCAGCAUUAGUGACGUCUUGGCACACAAAACAGCUUCUUUGGGUAGUGUAAAGUUCAGCCUUGAAGAGAGGAAACGCCAAGCAUGUUGUUGGCCGAAUGGCUACUUGAAAAUACCAACCAGCAGCCCUUUGAUGUUCACGAAAAUAGCACUUUUAAUGCUUCAUGUAUUCUCUUUUCAGCAACUAAUUAAUGGACUUCCCUUGCAUGCUGGACAACUCCUUUAAAACAUGUUCUGCUGUACAUUGAAUUCGGCCAGCCACUUUAAUGCAUUCCAGCAUCUCAUUGAAUGGCCGACUCUUGCAUGCCCAACAGCACCUUAAAUACAUGUCUAUGCUUUACAUUAAAUUCGGCCAACACCUUCUUUAUUGCUGCUGUUGAACAUCACCUUAAAUGCAUGUCUAUGCUUUACAUUAAAUUCGGCCAACACCUCCUUUAUUGCUGCUGAUUUAAUUCAUGUCUUUGCUUCCCUUUAAAUGCCGUUCCUUGCAUGUAGAACAACAACUUAAAUGCAUGUCUCCUUUGCCAUUAAGUAGUUGUUUCCAGUUGAAUUAAUUACCUGCAGACACAAAAUAAAUUCGGUCAAGACAUAAAUUAAACCUCAUUAAAUUCGGCAGCCUCCUUUAAUACAUAAUUAACUCAUGCAUGAACAAACAAGUUAAUUAACAUAUUAAAUUCAGCUGGACAAUAAAAAAAACAACAAUAAAUUCGUCACUUUUAAUGAACUUAAGACACAUUUAAUACUACUCUUUAAUUCGGCUGAAACUAAUAAUAAAAAAAACAUUAAUAAAUUCAGCAUAUUAAAUAGAUGUAAUAAAUAAAACACAAUCAAUUAAACUCAAAAAUUAUUAAAGAUGUUCAGAUUUAAACAUAUUAAUUUACUAACACUUAUUUGAGCUGAAUUAAAUAAAUAAACUAACUUAUUCAAUUUAUUUCAGCAAAUGAAAUUAUAAGAAUUAAAAUAAACUCAAAUUGAGCAAAACGAUCCCAUUGAGCUGGAAACGAGCUAAACAAAGCUCAGUGAGAUGCAAUUGAGCUAAUUUAGCUCGUAUGGGUAGACAAGAAAUACUUAUGGAGCUGAUCGAAAAAUGUGCCUGGGGCGUGGUCGUAUCAUCAUGCAUGAUUCAUGCAUUUUCAAGAUGACCAUUCAAGUAUUUUAGGCACAUUAAUGCCUCAUUCAGCCAAGGGAGAUGUAGGAUCAUUAAAGAGCUGCACAUUCAUGGAAUUAUGGAGAUUCUUCAAGGCUAAGGAUGCAUGAAUGCAUCAAGUGAAGCAUCAUGAUGGUUCGGCCAAUUCAUGUACCAUCUUCAAGCAUGAACUGGAUUUUAAUGCUAUUUGUGUGAACAUGUUAAAUACCUGUGUGAACAGAAUUUAAGUUAGUGUGAACAACAUAGAUGACGAAUAUCAAUAGGCAUUUUAGGCUUAUAAAUAGCUUACUUGUUUAUUGUAAAAGGUUACAGAAUUUGAUUAUUGAAAACUUGAUUGAGAGGUUUCCUCCUAUCCUAUUUCGUAUGAGUCUCGAUCUGACUUAUCUAGUGUGCUAGUGGCGUCAAUCCGAACUCCAUUGAACUUAUCACCUUGCAUUGGUGUGGCGUUCAACCCUUCUACAAUUCCACAAAUCCACCUUAACCAAAUAGAAAUCAGGGUGACACUCUUUAGUGUUGAAUCAUUUCUGGUGUUUAAGUUCACUUAUCCAUCCCCACCGAAUAUCUUAUAUUUUAUCUUUAUUAUUUUAUCCUUAAACCGAGACAAACAAAUUAGCUAUCUUUCUCCAUCCCCUUGUUGUCAAACCUAUCCAUAUCCUACUUACCCCUUUGUGAACUUAUAUCCAUCACUUUACUACAUAUUUUUAGCCGAUUACAAACAAACCAUCCUUUUGGUACGAAACUCCUCAUCGACGAUCGGGCAUCUACGUGAAACGACUCGAUUAACCUGGGCCAGAUCGCACCAUUUGGUAUCAGAGCUUGUCGAAUUAGAGUAAGAAUCGUUUUAAUCGGUAUUAUAAGAUUGUAAAAAAAUCAAAAAAAAAUUCGAAAAAAAUAUUAUUUUGUAUUCAAAACUUUCUAUUGUAUUCAGCAAAGUGUAAAAAAAAGUUCGUAGUUGGAUAGUAAAAGCAUUAUUUGCUGCCCGAGGAACCGUAUCUAUAUAGCCACACUAUUUCCUUCUACUUUUUUUCUUUGUUUGUUAGCCUACCCGAUCCUAAAAUAAUUCCCUACCAAGCCACAUCUAUUUUGUAAGCUGACCCCAAUCGAUUUUGAUUUGUCAAACUUAGUUUGCGAAGAAUUUCGAGAGGCAAAAAUUGAGUGGUAAAAGGCAAGAGAGAUUGGUGAGACUAUUAGAGAGUAGAAAAGCCAAAGUGAGUGAUUAUUCUUUGUGAGUGAUUGGUGAGUUUUUGUUGUGAGUCUUUAAAGAAUUUAAAAAAAAUGUCACAAAGUCCGGAAAGGAAUCCAAAUGAGGUAGGUGGGUUUCGUCCCAUAAGAAAUGUUGGAGGAGGAGUGCCGGAUCUCACUUUGCAAGCCAUUAUGCUAGAAAUGGAGCGAUUGUUUGAUCGCAAGCUUGAACCAAUCGAAGACCGCUUAUAUCGAGUUGAAAUCCGAGGACAACGCGAAGCGACUCCGGAAGAUGCAAGGCGAGAACGAGAGCAACCAACUGACAACUUUGAUGAAGGAGAAUCCGAAGGUGACCACUUGUCUGAACAAGGAAACCUUCAACGGUUCCCACAAAAUCGAGGCCCAAGAAAUUGAGACCGUCCUGAUGACAAUCUCAAAAAUAUCAAGAUGACUAUUCCACCGUUUCAAGGAAAGAAUGAUCUUGAAUCUUACUUGGAGUGGGAAAAGAAGAUGGAACUCGUCUUCGAGUGCCAUAACUAUUCAGAAAAUAAGAAGGUAAAGCUCGCUGCCAUUGAAUUCUCGGAUUAUGCGAUUGUGUGGUGGGAUCAAUUGGUGACUAGCCGAAGGAGGAAUGGGGAGAGGCCUAUCUCUACGUGGGCCGAAAAGAAGGCUGUUAUGCGCAAGCGAUUUGUUCCCUCCUAUUACCAUCGAGAGUUGUACCAACGAUUGCAAAGUCUCACUCAAGGCAACCGAAGCGUUGAGGACUACUACAAAGACAUGGAAAUUGCUAUGAUAAGUGAUGUGAGCUUGCCUACGAACCAAAUGGAGAACGAACAAGAAGCCAUUAAGCUGCCCAUUGGUCCAAUAACGCGAGCUAGAGCUAAACGAUUCAAAGAUGCUAUUUUAGCAAUGGUGGAACGGGUUGAGGAAAAAGAUAGCAAGGAGUUUAAAAACGAGCUGAACAUAUUCAACUUCUUUGAAGCUGAAUUUUGUUCUAGCUAAUUAAUUUGAUGACUGGAAUUUAGACCAUUUAAAUAAACAUUUAAAUAAGUUUCAUUACAGCUUUUAAAUAUGUCUUAAUUAAUUUAAGUGUUUAAUAUGUCUUGAUUUAGUUAAAUUAAAGAUGUCUUGAUGUCAUUUAGUUUGUCUAAAUUAUUACAUGUUUUAAAUUUGUCUAGCCGAAUUUAUGUGUUAUGAUUUGUUAAUAUUUAAGUUGUCUCAAUGUUAUUUAGGAUGUUCACAUUAUAUUUUAAUUUAGUUCAGAUGAAUUUGCUUGAAAUUAAUUAAGUUCAAGUUUAUUUUUAGGUGCAGCCGAAUUUGGAGAUGAAUUGGACAGAUUCAUGCAUGGAGAUUCAAUGAAUUUGAAGAUGCAUGUGCAGCUGAACUAAUGCAUUAAAAGCAAAUUAAUUUUGGUGUUCUUCAAGGCAACUAUUCGGCCAAGAGUGAUCAAGUUUUUCAUCCUUUCAAGCUUGGCCGAUUCUCUUCCCAAGGGCGUAUAAAAGCUGUUCACACUAUGUCUAUUCGGUUCAGCCAUGUUCACACUUCAAGGCUCUUCAAAACCGUCCAUUCACACUUCUAAAUGGCUGUUCCAGUUGCCAAUUAAUGCUGGUAAUUUUUCAUCAAUAGUUGCUUCAUGAAUGACCUCAUUAAACUCCAUUGGCCGAAUGUAGCUGCUGCCAUUUUUUUCCAAGUUUAUUGAAAGCUCUUCCUUGGUCUCUAUUCAGCCGAACCUUGAUGCAAGCAUAUACAUGAAUUUAAGCUGAAUUUUUGUUCAAUUUUUGCUUAGAAAUUAAGUCUAGAAUAUGUCCAUUCGGCUACUAGACAUUAGACUAUAAAUAGUUGCUCAAUUUCUUGUAAAAGGACUUUUUGACAAAUUUCUGAAUGAAAUAUCAUUUUAGUGAGGCAAUUCACUCUCUUUAUUCUCCAAAGCUCUAAUUGACUUAUCUUCAACAAGUGGCGUCAAUCUGACUUUGUUUCGAACUUAUCACCAUUGGUGUGGCGUUCUUCAUACCGUAGGUUCCUAUUUUGCUAAAUAGAGGGUCUCGAUUUUAUCCCAAAAUCCUUUCUUUCUUUGAAACCUUAAGCCCCGGGUCCUUAUUUGCUAAUAAGGGUUCGACUUGUUUUCAUUGAAAUAUCCAGCAAACAACACUCCAUCAAACUCCCUUGUUUCCCAAAGCCAUUUAAUUUUAAACACCAAGACUUGAAUUUAUUUCAAGGCCGACACUACCUAAUUUCGAUCGGGAAAUAUUACGACUCAUUAUUUCAUACGAAACAAGCUCGUAUCAGUUGGUAUCAGAGCUGGUUAAUUUAAGUACGUAAAUUGUAGAUUCAAAAAAAAUCAAAAAAAAAUCGAGAAAAAAAAUUGCAUACGGUCUAGGUGCGGACGAAAAGAACGUGAAAGAUCCGUAAAAAAAAAAAGAGUCUAGAGAUACUUCAACAAAUUUUUUUCUAAAAUCACAUUCUACACUCCUUUAUACCCAUUUUAGUGAAUUUUCAUGCUAUUAAAAAAAUUCCCAAUUAGAGAAUCCAUUUUAUACGCCACAUCUUAAGCCUUUCUUUCUUUCGAGCCUACCCUAAACCAUACGACUUUCCCUUGCAAACCCCUUGAAGCUGACCCACAAGUGUGGAUAAAUCUAAGUAGCUUUUCAGAAUAUCGAGAGUUGGAUUUGAGAGGUAAAAGGCAAGAGAGUACAUCAAGAUAAAAGCCGAAAAUAGAGUGAAACACGAGAGGAGUGAAUUAUUUUCUUGUGAGUGAAUUGUGAGGUUUUUUUUUGUGGUGAGGAUAUUUUCUUAAUUUUAAUCAUCAUGUCAAGGAGCCCGGAACGACGAGCAACAAGUGGAGGAGCCUCGAAUGCCGCUGGUGGAGGAGUUAAUCUUCAACCAAGGAGAAACGUUCCCGGAGGCGGAGUGCCCGAUCUACAAGUUCAAGCAAUCGUGCGAGAAAUUUCUCGUUUGUUCCAACCUCAAUUUGAUUCCCUUCAUGAACGAAUGGAACAAAUGGAGGAACGAAGCCAACGUGCGAACACCCCUCCUAUUCCGAGAAGAGAGCGAGAACGUCCAUGGCAACAUGUAAAUGAUCUAUAUGAAGCAAGUGACGUUGAAAGUGAUCGAGCUUCACGACAAAGUGCAAGGCGACAAGGCCAACGAUCACGGGAACCAAGAGAUCGAGAGAGGACCGAUGAUGAUUUAAAAAACAUUAAAAUGGCGAUUCCUGCUUUUCAAGGAAGGUCGGAUCCCGAGGCCUAUCUUGAAUGGGAGAAGAAGGUGGAGUUAGUUUUCGAGUGCCACAAUUACUCAGAAAGCAAGAAGGUAAAGUUAGCUGCUAUAGAAUUCUCCGAAUACGCCAUAAUAUGGUGGGAUCAACUCACGAUGAGCCGAAGACGCAAUGGCAAACGUCCCGUGUCUACAUGGGCGGAAAUGAAAGCCAUAAUGAGAAAGCGAUUCAUUCCUGCUUACUAUCACCGAGAGUUGUAUCAAAAGCUCCAAAGCUUAACUCAAGGCCAACGAAGCGUGGAGGAUUACUACAAGGAAAUGGAAGUGGCCAUGAUCCGCGCUGAUGUGGAGGAAGAUCGAGAAGCCACCAUGGCUCGAUUUCUCACCGGACUUAACCGAGAUAUUGCAAAUAUUGUGGAGCUACACCAUUAUGUCGAGGUCAUUGAUAUGGUCCAUAUGGCCAUAAAGGUUGAAAAACAAUUAAAGAGAAAAGGUACGUUCCGUUCUUUCCCUAAUACUUCUUUUACGACUAAGUGGGGGCAAGGGUCCAACAGACGAGACUUGCUGAUACGAGAUCAAAGGCCCAAAAAAUGCGUUCCAAACUAAAUGGGACCAUCCAGGAGUUUGUUAGUAAGGCCUUAGAUGCGUACACAAAAGAAAGGGAAAAUCAAGAUUUCAAAUAUUGGGAAUCUUGGUCCAAGACACCAAAUCUUGCAGCCAAAGCGCAUUGGAUCUCCAUUACGAGCAUCAACGAUUCAAUUUCGGUAGGAGAUGGAUCACAAGCCCAAAUUCUUGAGGGCAAGGCCCAAUAAGAAAAUUCCCAGCCCAAUCAAGAAAUCCAUCCAUACUUAGUUGAAAAUCAGGCCAAAUUGUCAAAGUGGCCCAAGUUGUAAAGUUUUAUUUUUUAUUUAUUUAUUUAUUUACUUAGUUUAAAUUUUUAUGUCAAUAUUCAGUCCAAGAGUCCCAGAUAAAAUGACCUUUGACCGAAUUUCCAUAUUAAAAUAAUUAGGAGUUUUUUUUAUUUUAGUUUUCUAAUUAGAUUAGGACUAGUUAUAAGGCCUAUUUAAAGGCAUGGCUGUCCACCUUGUUAAACACUUAUCAUUAUUAUUAAAAUUUCAGAUUUGUUGAGAGCAGAAUUUUCUUUGAGUUUUCUCCAAUAUUUCUCUCUUGAGUUUUCUUUAGAAGUUGUUUUAACAAUCUUGUGAUUGUGGGAGCCAUCUUCAACCUUCUUCUUGCCAUUGAUAUUCUUUGGAGGGGAGAUUAGAGCUGUUUGAAGGGAGUUGUGAGAUCUUUCGAGAUUUCAAGGCUUCUUAGGACUUAUCUUUUAAUUUCUUACUGUCAAUUCUUUCUUUAUUUCUACUUGUGCUGAAUCAUUAUCUAAUCUAUUUUCUGUUCUUAUUGUGUUUUCAGCCUUUUUCUAUCUUAAGGAAUCAGCCCAAAAAUCCCCAAUUUCUAGGGUUUUUCCAUACUCUUUUUGGGUGAAAUUAGAUUGUCGAAAUUUGGGGAAAACUAUCUUGGUGUUCAAUUGGGCAGAAUCACAAUCUCCUUGAGGGUUUCAAGAAGCCUAACACUUAUUUCUAUUCUCAAUUUGAUUCUUUGCUGAUUUGGGGAUUUUAUUUCAGAUCUGAAAAUUCAAAAAUCUAAUCUUUUAAUUUUCUGUUUCGUUUCAGAUCUAAUUAUUUAGGGUUUUCGUAGGAGUUUCUCGUGACUUGGCAACUCGAUCUUGGUCCACGCGCAACCCUGUAUCACUUGCCGAGUCGAAAUAAAGAAGUAAGUGGAGCUACCAAAUUCAACAAACUGAUUACCGAAUCGAGUAAAGGAAAGAUGGAUGCCCAACCAAAUAGAUCCCGAGACAUCAAAUGCUUCAAAUGUCUUGGAAGGGGCCACAUCACAAGCCAAUGCCCGAACUGAAAUGCGAUGUUUGUUCGAGAUGAUGGAGAAAUUGAAUCCGAAAGUGAACAAGAGAACAAGGCUGUUGAACAACUCGAAGAAGAGGAAGACAUCGAACAAGCCGAGAAUGGAGAAAUCUUGGUUGUGAAAAGAAGUCUCACUUUGCAAGGUGCUGAAAAUGAUCAACAACGCGAAAACAUCUUCCAUACGCGAUGUCAAGUGCAAGGUAAGAUUUGUUGCGUGAUAAUCGAUAGGGAAAGUUGUACAAAUGUGGCUAGUACGUUGAUGGUGGAGAAACUCGGAUUGGCCACCACCAAACAUCCCCAUCCGUAUAAACUCCAAUGGCUUAACGAUGGUGGAGAAUUGAAGGUAACAAAACAAGUGCUCAUUUCAUUCACAAUCGGAAAAUAUCAAGAUGAAGUGAUGUGCGAUGUUGUACCGAUGCAUGCGGGGCAUCUUCUUUUGGGACGUCCGUGGCAAUUCGACAAGCGAGCAAUUCAUGAUGGUUCCACAAAUCGAUUCUCUUUCAAACAUAUGGGACGAAUGGUGACUCUAGCUCUGUUAUCACCGAAACAAGUGUACGAAGAUCAACUCAAAAUGAGGAGUUCGAUUGAAAAAUCAAAAGAAAUCGAGAGAGAGCAAAAAAAUGAAAAGAAUAAAGAAAAGAGUGAAGAAAAGAAGAAAAACAAAAAGAUGAGUGAUAAAAAAAGAGAGAGUGAUUCAAAAGAAAAAGAAAUGAGUGAUGAGAUUGAAAAAAAGAAUUUGUUUGUAAAAGAGAGGGAAGUUCGAAAAUCGAUGCUAUUGAAACAACCAUUGUUGGUUCUUUUGUACAAGGAGAGCUUGCUUGGCACUAACGAAUUUGAUGACAAAUUGCCUUCUUCUAUUUUGUCUGUGUUGCAGGAAUUUCAAGACGUAUUCCCGGAAGAAAUCCCGAGUGGGUUACCACCUAUUCGUGGAAUUGAACACCAAAUCGAUCUUGUGCCGGGAGCCACAAUUCCAAACCGACCUGCUUACCGGAGCAAUCCUGAAGAGACGAAAGAAUUACAAAAGCAAGUAAAUGAACUCCUUGAAAAGGGCUAUCUGCGUGAAAGCCUUAGUCCAUGCGCCGUGCCUAUUUUACUAGUUCUGAAGAAGGAUGGAACGUGGAGGAUGUGCGUGGACUGCCGUGCUAUAAAUAAAAUAACUAUCAAGUAUCAUCAUCCUAUACCACGAUUGGAUGAUAUGCUUGACGAGCUAAGUGGCGCGAGUUUAUUUUCAAAAAUCGACCUUAAGAGCGGUUAUCACCAAAUACGGAUGCGUGAGGGAGAUGAGUGGAAGACUGCGUUCAAAACGAAGCAUGGGCUUUAUGAAUGGCUCGUUAUGCCAUUUGGCUUAACGAACGCCCCAAGCACAUUCAUGAGGCUUAUGAACCACGUUUUAAGACCUUUUAUUGGUAGAUUUUGCGUAGUAUACUUCGACGAUAUAUUGAUCUAUAGUAAAAAUUUGGAUGAACAUAUUUUACAUUUAAAAUCUGUUUUGGAAGUAUUGAGAAAAGAAACCUUGUAUGCUAAUUUGAAGAAAUGUGAUUUCUGCACUAACAAGGCUGUGUUUUUAGGUUUUGUUGUUAGCUCGGAGGGUCUUGAAGUCGAUCAAGAGAAGAUCAAGGCGAUCCAAGAAUGGCCCCGUCCAACGAAUGUCUCCCAAGUCCAAAGUUUCCAUGGACUAGCAAGUUUUUACCGUCGAUUUGUGCCAAAUUUCAGCACCUUAGCCGCACCUUUAACCGGGGUUAUUCGUAAGAAUUCCAACUUUAUUUGGGGAGAGGAACAAGAAAAAUCCUUUUUGAAAAUUAAAGAUUGUCUAACUCAUGCACCGUUAUUAGCUUUGCCUAACUUUGAUAAAACUUUCGAGUUAGAAUGUGAUGCAUCAGGUUUAGGCAUUGGAGCUGUGUUGAUGCAAGAUGGUCGUCCUAUUGCCUAUUUUAGCGAGAAACUGAAUGGUGCUGUCUUAAACUAUCCAACAUAUGACAAGGAGCUCUAUUCGUUGAUCCGAGCCUUAGAAACAUGGCAACACUAUCUUUGGCCCAAGGAAUUCGUCAUACACACCGAUCAUGAGUCCUUGAAGUAUUUAAAGGGGCAACACAAGUUGAAUAAGCGACACGCUAAGUGGGUAGAAUUUCUCAAAUCUUUUCCCUACGUUAUUAAAUAUAAGAAAGGUAAGGAAAACGUAGUGGCUGAUGCACUAUCUCGAAGGUAUGCGUUGCUAAAUAUUUUGGAUGCUAAGUUAAUGGGGUUUGUAUUUCUUAAAGAUUUAUAUGUCAACGAUGCUGACUUUGGUGAAUUCUUUAGAUUAUGUACAAAGGGAGCCUACGAGAAGUACUAUCGACAUGAUGGGUACUUAUUCCGAGAAGGAAAGCUUUGUAUACCCCAAGUGAUGUGAUCCGGCCCGGAUUAAUUGAGUCGUUUCACGUAAUUGCCCGAUUGUCAACGAGGAAUAGUUGAGUUAUCGAAAAUAGGAUGAAAUAAGGCUAAAGAUGCGGAAGCUUUCAAAUGGUUUUAAAAGGUUGGCUAAGGUGAUGGUAAAUUUAUAAGGGUAGUAGGCUCGAUUUAAGGAUAAAAAUAAGAAAAAUGGAAGUUGAUAAAUGAAGGCUCGGUUUUGUAAAAAGAUAUUAUAGUUGGGUAAAAUCUAGGAUAGUCGGUGGAAUGGAUAAAUGAGCUUAAACACCAGAAACGAUUCAACACUAAAAAGUGUCACCCCGAUUUCUAUUCGGUUCAAGGUGGGAUUACGGAAUUGUAGAAGGGUUGAACGCCACACCAAAGCAAGGUGAUAAGUUCAAAAGAGAACGAUAGAUGCCACUAGCACACUAGAUAAGUCAGAUCGAAACUCGUACGAAUUUAGAGAGGAGAAAACUCACUCUUUGAACAAAGUUCAUUCAAAUGAUCAAAAGUCAAAAGUCCUUUACAAAUGAAAUCAACAAACUAUUUAUACUAGUUUCUUAUGCUAACCGAAUAGUCCAUUCAUGAACUUAAUGAUUAAGUAAUGAACCUAAAUUAAGACAUGAACCUUCUAGAAAAAUGACCAAUGGUGUCCUUGUCUAUGUUCGGCCGAAUGGGAGAUGAAUGGGCAGCUUCAUGUAUGAGCAAACUUUGGAAGCCAAUGGGAUUGUCUAGGUUCGGCCAUGGGAUGCAUGAAACUCCCAAAGGGUGUCUCUUGGCCGAAUAGGUGCUUAGGAAACUCCAAGGGUCCUCCCACAUGCAUCGAUUGUACAUGGAACUUGGAAGGGGCCUUGAACCUAGCCAUACAUGCACUUGCAUUGAUUACCCCCCAUUCAUGCAUGUGUGCCGUCCAAGGGAGAUGCACCUUUCAAUAUGCAUUAACCUUCCAUGUACAUGAAUGUAUGUCCUCCAAACAUUGAACCGGUCCAUGCAUGUAUCCUCCCGUUCAAUUAACUUUCCCAUGGACCUUGCAUUAAAUGCCAUGAAUGUAUCUUCCAAAUUCGGCUAACCUACAAAAGAAAAUAACAUAAUUAAAUAACACACAACUAUUCAUAUAAUUAUAAUUUAAAAUAAUAACUAAAUAACUUAAUAUCACUAACUAAAUUUGAACACAAUAAUUAUAAGUCAACUUAUAAUAAAUUCAGCUAGCUCAAAAAUAGUCAAAACACUUAAUGAGUUGAAAUUGAGCUAGGGGUUUCGGCAUGAGCUGUAGCAAACUUAAUUAUAAACUAAAUUAAGACUUAGUUUAUUGAAAGAAAGAAAGAAGGAGCUGAAAGUAAGCUCGGUUGAGCUCAAACGAGCUGAAACAAGCUCAAAUGAGCUGAGUUGAGCUGGACGGUGCUCGAGGAGCUAGAAAUGAGCUAGGAUCAGCUUUCCAACAAUGCACGGGUCCUUUGGAUAGUUGCUUCAAGCUGAUUUUGUGAGCUUUGGCCCUUGUUUCGAACCAAGGUUUUGCAUUAGAAGCUAAAAUAGCUUCUAAGAAAUGUUUAGCAUAAGCUUGAGUUAUAGGUCCUUUAGGCAGCUCGUUUAGAUCUUGGUUUGCACUCGAGGAUGCCCCGGGUGUGCUCACAUCACCAAGGUUCCGUACGAGAAGUGUUGAUCGAAGAAGCCCAUAGCAGAGGAUUAAUGGGGCACUUUGGUGUUGCUAAGACAUUAGCUACAUUGCACGAACAUUUCUUUUGGCCCAAGAUGCGACGAGAUGUCGAACGAUUUUGUAAUAGAUGCAUUGCGUGCAAACGGGCUAAGUCACGAAUUAAGCCCCACGGUUUGUAUAAACCAUUACCUAUUCCCGAAACCCCUUGGUCUGAUAUCUCCAUGGAUUUCGUUCUAGGUUUACCUAGGAGUAAGAAUGGCCGAGAUUCAAUAUUUGUGGUUGUAGAUAGGUUCUCAAAAAUGGCCCAUUUUAUAGCAUGUCAUAAAACUGAUGAUGCCGUUAAUAUUGCUAACUUAUUUUUCAAAGAGGUGGUCAGGUUGCAUGGCAUGCCUAGAACGAUCGUGUCCGACCGAGACGCAAAAUUCCUUAGCCAUUUUUGGAGGACACUAUGGGGGCGUCUUGGAACGAAGUUGCUAUUUUCAACCACUUGCCAUCCGCAAACGGACGGCCAAACCGAAGUGGUCAACCGGAUUCUGUCUACAUUGCUUCGAGCUAUUAUUCGGAAGAAUGUGAAGGCUUGGGAAGAAUGCUUACCACAUGUGGAGUUUGCGUAUAAUCGAGCUGUUCAUUCAGCUACCAAAUUUUCUCCUUUUGAAAUUGUCUAUGGUUUCAAUCCAUUAACUCCACUUGAUUUAUUGCCAUUGCCUUCUAAUCAACUUGUUCAUGUAGAUGGGAAGCGCAAAGCUGAUUUCGUCAAGCAAUUACACCAACGAGUUCGAGACAAUAUUGAGGCCAAGACCAAGAACUAUGAGCAACAUGCUAACAAAGGUCGUAAGCGAGUUGUGUUCGAACCGGGAGAUUGGGUUUGGUUGCAUAUGCGCAAGGAGAGAUUUCCUAUGCAAAGGCGAUCCAAACUUCUUCCGAGAGGGGAUGGACCGUUUCAAGUCCUUGAGCGAAUUAACGAUAACUCCUAUAAAUUGGACUUGCCUGGUGAAUAUAAUGUUAGCGCGACUUUUAACGUUUCUGAUUUGUCUCCGUUUGAUGCAGAUUCCGAUUUGAGGGCAAAUUGUUCUGGAGAGGAGGGGAAUGAUGUGAGCUUGCCUACGAACCAAAUGGAGAACGAACAAGAAGCCAUUAAGCUUCCCAUUGGUCCAAUAACGCGAGCUAGAGCUAAACAAUUCAAAGAUGCUAUUUUAGCAAUGGUGGAACAGGUUGAGGAAAAAGAUAGCAAGGAGUUUAAAAACGAGCUGAACAUAUUCAACUUCUUUGAAGCUGAAUUUCGUUCUAGCUAAUUAAUUUGAUGACUGGAAUUUAGACCAUUUAAAUAAACAUUUAAAUAAGUUUCAUUACAGCUUUUAAAUAUGUCUUAAUUAAUUUAAGUGUUUAAUAUGUCUUGAUUUAGUUAAAUUAAAGAUGUCUUGAUGUCAUUUAGUUUGUCUAAAUUAUUACAUGUUUUAAAUUUGUCUAGCCGAAUUUAUGUGUUAUGAUUUGUUAAUAUUUAAGUUGUCUCAAUGUUAUUUAGGAUGUUCACAUUAUAUUUUAAUUUAGUUCAGAUGAAUUUGCUUGAAAUUAAUUAAGUUCAUGUUUAUUUUUAGGUGCAGUCGAAUUUGGAGAUGAAUUGGACAGAUUCAUGCAUGGAGAUUCAAUGAAUUUGAAGAUGCAUGUGCAGCUGAACUAAUGCAUUAAAAGCUAAUUAAUUUUGGUGUUCUUCAAGGCAACUAUUCGGCCAAGAGUGAUCAAGUUUUUCAUCCUUUCAAGCUUGGCCGAUUCUCUUCCCAAGGGCGUAUAAAAGCUGUUCACACUAUGUCUAUUCGGUUCAGCCAUGUUCACACUUUAAGGCUCUUCAAAACUGUCCAUUCACACUUCUAAAUGGCUGUUCAAGUUGCCAAUUAAUGCUGGUAAUUUUUCAUCAAUAGUUGCUUCAUGAAUGACCUCAUUAAACUCCAUUGGCCGAAUGUAGCUGCUACCAUUUUUUUCCAAGUUCAUUGAAAGCUCUUCCUUGGUCUCUAUUCAUCCAAACCUUGAUGCAAGCAUAUACAUGAAUUUAAGCUGAAUUUUUGUUCAAUUUUUGCUUAGAAAUUAAGUCUAGAAUAUGUCCAUUCGGCUACUAGACAUUACACUAUAAAUAGUUGCUCAAUUUCUUGUAAAAGGACUUUUUGACAAAUUUCUGAAUGAAAUAUCAUUUUAGUGAGGCAAUUCACUCUCUUUAUUCUCCAAAGCUCUAAUUGACUUAUCUUCAACAAGUGGCGUCAAUCUGACUUUGUUUUGAACUUAUCACCAUUGGUGUGGCGUUCUUCAUACCGUAGGUUCCUAUUUUGCUAAAUAGAGGGUCUCGGUUUUAUCCCAAAAUCCUUUCUUUCUUUGAAACCUUAAGCCCCGGGUCCUUAUUUGCUUAUAAGGGUUCGACUUGUUUUCAUUGAAAUAUCCAGCAAACAACACUCCAUCCAAACUCCCUUGUUUCCCAAAGCCAUUUAAUUUUAAACACCAAGACUUGAAUUUAUUUCAAGGCCGACACUACCUAAUUUCGAUCGAGAAAUAUUACGACUCGUUAUUUCAUACGAAACAAGCUCGUAUCAAUAAGAGCCGAUGUGGAGGAGGAUCGUGAAGCAACCAUGGCGAGGUUUCUAGCCAGCCUAAAUCGGGAUAUUGCCAAUAUGGACAUGGUGCAUAUGGCAAUCAAAGUGGAAAAGCAAUUGAAAAGGAAAGGAUCCACUCGAACAUAUCCAACGGCUUCUACCAACAAGUGGGCUCAAGGGACUAGCAAAACUCCUAAUCGGCCUAAGGAGCCUUUUGUUGCUGCUAAAUCCAACCAACCAAGUGGCGAAGCUAGCAAAAAUAAAAAUGAGGCUGCUUCGAAUCAUUCUCGUGAUAUCAAGUGUUUCAAGUGUCAAGAAAGAGGCCACAUUGCGAGUCAAUGUCCUAAUCGACGAGUGAUGGUGGUUCGUUCAAAUGGCGAGAUUGAAUCCGAAGAUGAACAAGAGGAGGAGCCUGAAAUUCCCAUGGAGGAAGGUGAAGAGCUCGAGCUGCCCGUUGAAUUACUUGUUGUCAAAAGGAGUUUGAAUAUCCAAGUAGCUGAGGAGGAACAACAACGAGAUAACAUCUUUCACACCCGUUGCCAUGUUCAAGGUAAGGUGUGUAGUUUGAUUAUUGACGGAGGUAGUUGCACCAACGUCGCAAGUUCUUUGCUUGUUGAAAAACUUGGUUUAGCCACCACAAAGCAUCCAACCCCUUACAAGCUACAAUGGCUAAAUGACGGAGGUGAACUCAAGGUGACGAAGUGAUGUGAUCUCAAUCGCAUCAUGUUGUGGCACCACUCGUUGCUAUCAUGAUUGGCCUAAACACGAGGGCCCCAAGUGCAAGAUGAAGCUCAAUCUCAGCUCAACAAGCUCAAUCUUAGUUUUUCCCAGCUCGAAUUAGCUCACAUGAGCUUAAUUUAGCUCGUUUGAGCAUUUAACUUACUUUAGCUCAUUUGAGCUUGGCUUAAGUUUAUUUCAACUCAUUUAUUUUAAUGUCUGAAUAAAUUAAGUAAUUUAUUAGUUUAGCUUAAAUUACUACAGCUCAUAAUUAUGUUUUGACUUAUUACAUGUUUUAAAUGUGUCUUGGCCGAAUUUAAUAUGUCUUGUUAAGACUUUAUUAAAUUUGUCUAAUUUAAUUUAUGUUUAAUUAGUGUGUCUAAAUUAUAUUAAUGUUUGUUCAGCUGAAUUUUAUGUGAUUUAAUUUUGGUUCAUGUGUUUUUGUAGGUGAGUUGAAUUUGGAGAGUAAUUAAACAAGGUUCAUGCAUGAUAGGUUCAAUGUAUGGGACGGUGCAUGUAAGGCCUCUUUCAAUGAAUGGUGGCUGAUCCAUUUGGCUCCCCAAGGCACCUAUUUGGCCAAAAGGUGUCCAGCAACUUAAAGCACAAGCUUGGCCGAUCGUAUUCCCAAGGCAGCAUCUAAGCCAUUCACACCUCAAUUUGACCAAUCAGCUCCUAUACAUGUAUGGGUGGAUUCAUGAACGUCCAAAGGGAGGGAAUAUUACCUUAAUUCAUCACAUUGAAUGUAUAAUGUGCAUGUACAAAGGGGAGAACGAAUUUACAAGGUACAUGCUUCCAUUCAUGAACCAGCCCAUCAUUAAAGCUUUAAUUAAGAGAGAUGCAAUACCCAUGCACCUAGCAUUCGUCCAAGAGGGGUUGGAUAUGAAUUGAAGAUGCACAUUCAUGGAACAAGGAAGCUUUCUUAUUGGUUAAGCAUGCAUGAACGGGUUUUGGGAAGAAACGUGAUUAUUCAACCAUGCAUGAACUUAUACUAUCCAUGAACAGAGAUUUAAUGCUUGAAGUGUGAACAUUUUUAAUUGUUGUGUGAACACAUUAGUAGCUGAAUUUUAAUAGGCAUUAGAGAGCUAUAAAUAGUUUAUUUUGUUUAUUGUAAAAGGUUACAGAAUUUGAUUAUUGAAAACUUGAUUGUGAGGUUUCCUCCUAUCCUAUUUCGUACGAGUCUCGUUCUGACUUAUCUAGCUCGCUAGUGGCGUCAACCCGACUUCUUGAACUUAUCACCAUCCUGGUGUGGCGUUCAUCCACCUUUUUAUACCUUUGGUUCCUACCUCUCUAUAGGUAACGGGUCAAGGUCCAUCUUCGACAAUCCAUUUAAUCCACCUUGAGCAAUAUAAGUCCCGGGGCAAUACUUCAUAUAGUAUUGAAUCGUUCUUCGCUUGAGUUCUAUUUUUCCAUUCCAUUUUAACUAUUAAAUUAUAAACAAUAUUUCUUUAUUUCACCGAGCCUAUCAAACAUCUAUCCAAACCAUCUUUUGAACCCAUUUUCUCAACUUCUGCUAUAAAAAAUCAUCUAACUCCAUCUAACUACAAAUUCGAACAAACUUCUCGUCGACGAUUGGGCAAUCAAGUGAAUCGACUCAAUCAACCGAGCCAGAUCACAUCACGAAGCAAGCAAAAGUGGCGUUUUCCAUAGGCAAGUACCAAGACGAGGUGAUUUGUGAUGUCGUGCCCAUGCACGCGGGGCAUUUGCUAUUGGGCCGUCCUUGGCAAUUUGACCGACGAGUAGUCCACGACGGUUAUACAAACCGAUAUUUAUUCAAGCACCUUGGAAGGAAUGUUACAUUAGCUCCUCUCACACCGAAGCAAGUGCAUGAAGACCAACUCAAGAUGAAGCAAUCUAUUGAGCGAGAAAAAGAAAAAGAGAAAAACAAAAAGAGUGAAAAGAAAAAGAAAGAAACGAAUGAUGAGAGUGAGGUAAAAACAAGAGUGACAAAAGACAAAGAACAAGAGUAUGAAAAUAAAAAAACGAGUGUUUUUGCUACAAAAAGAAAGAUUCAAAAAUUGAUGUUGGCAAGGCAACCCAUCUUUGUACUUAUGUUCAAAGAGUGUUUAUUGGAAACUAACGAACUUGAGGAUACUUUGCCUACUCCUAUCGUUUCUUUGUUGCAGGAAUUUGGAGAUGUUUUUCCCGAAGAAGUGCCAAAUGGCCUACCUCCCAUUCGAGGAAUCGAGCACCAAAUCGAUUUUGUGCCCGGUGCUGCAAUUCCAAAUGGGCCAGCAUAUAGAAGUAAUCCUGAGGAAACGAAGGAAUUGGAAAAACAAGUAGCUGAAUUAAUGGAGAAGGGCUACAUCCGUGAAAGUUUAAGUUCGUGCGCGGUUCUGGUUUUGUUGGUUCCUAAAAAGGAUGGAUCAUGGCGAAUGUGCGUUGACUGCCGUGCCAUCAAUAAAAUUACCAUAAAAUAUCGCCAUCCUAUUCCCCGCCUCGAUGACAUGCUUGAUGAACUUAGUGGAGCCCAAUUGUUUUCGAAGAUCGAUUUAAAAAGUGGGUAUCAUCAAAUCAGAAUGCGGGAGGGAGACGAAUGGAAAACUGCGUUCAAAACUAAAUAUGGUUUGUAUGAAUGGUUGGUAAUGCCAUUCGGACUUACCAACGCUCCAAGUACUUUCAUGUGUCUCAUGAAUUAUGUUUUACGUUCGUUCAUUGGGAAAUUUUGUGUUGUAUAUUUUGAUGAUAUUUUAGUCUAUAGCAAGAGCUUGGAAGAUCAUAUUCAACAUCUACGUGCCGUACUUGAAGUCUUGCGAAAAGAGGUACUUUAUGCCAAUUUAAAGAAAUAUUCUUUUUGCACUAAUGAAGUUGUUUUUCUAGGAUUUGUGGUAAGUGCUCGUGGAUUAGAAGUUGACCAAGAAAAGGUCAAGGCGAUCAACGAAUGGCCGCGUCCAACGAACAUCAGCCAAGUGAGGAGUUUUCACGGGUUGGCAAGCUUCUAUCGAAGGUUUGUGCCUAAUUUUAGUUCUGUAGCUGCCCCCUUGACAGGUAUAAUUAAGAAAAACUCUCCUUUUGUGUGGACUGAUGAACAAGAGAAUUCUUUUAAUAAGCUUAAAGAAUGUCUAACUAAUGCACCAUUGUUGUCUUUACCUGAUUUUAAUAAGACAUUCGAGAUAGAGUGUGAUGCUUCAGGUAUUGGCAUUGGCGCUGCUUUGAUGCAAGAUGGACGGCCUAUUGCAUACUUUAGUGAAAAGCUUAACGGAGCUAUGUUGAAUUAUCCAACGUAUGAUAAGUGAUGUGAGCUUGCCUACGAACCAAAUGGAGAACAAACAAGAAGCCAUUAAGCUGCCCAUUGGUCCAAUAACGCGAGCUAGAGCUAAACGAUUCAAAGAUGCUAUUUUAGCAAUGGUGGAACGGGUUGAGGAAAAUGAUAGGAAGGAGUUUAAAAAUGAGCUGAACAUAUUCAACUUCUUUGAAGCUGAAUUUCGUUCUAGCUAAUUAAUUUGAUGACUGGAAUUUAGACCAUUUAAAUAAACAUUUAAAUAAGUUUCAUUACAGCUUUUAAAUAUGUCUUAAUUAAUUUAAGUGUUUAAUAUGUCUUGAUUUAGUUAAAUUAAAGAUGUCUUGAUGUCAUUUAGUUUGUCUAAAUUAUUACAUGUUUUAAAUUUGUCUAGCCGAAUUUAUGUGUUAUGAUUUGUUAAUAUUUAAGUUGUCUCAAUGUUAUUUAGGAUGUUCACAUUAUAUUUUAAUUUAGUUCAGAUGAAUUUGCUUGAAAUUAAUUAAGUUCAAGUUUAUUUUUAGGUGCAGCNNNNNNNNNNNNNNNNNNNNNNNNNNNNNNNNNNNNNNNNNNNNNNNNNNNNNNNNNNNNNNNNNNNNNNNNNNNNNNNNNNNNNNNNNNNNNNNNNNNNNNNNNNNNNNNNNNNNNNNNNNNNNNNNNNNNNNNNNNNNNNNNNNNNNNNNNNNNNNNNNNNNNNNNNNNNNNNNNNNNNNNNNNNNNNNNNNNNNNNNNNNNNNNNNNNNNNNNNNNNNNNNNNNNNNNNNNNNNNNNNNNNNNNNNNNNNNNNNNNNNNNNNNNNNNNNNNNNNNNNNNNNNNNNNNNNNNNNNNNNNNNNNNNNNNNNNNNNNNNNNNNNNNNNNNNNNNNNNNNNNNNNNNNNNNNNNNNNNNNNNNNNNNNNNNNNNNNNNNNNNNNNNNNNNNNNNNNNNNNNNNNNNNNNNNNNNNNNNNNNNNNNNNNNNNNNNNNNNNNNNNNNNNNNNNNNNNNNNNNNNNNNNNNNNNNNNNNNNNNNNNNNNNNNNNNNNNNNNNNNCUAACACCCGAAAACCCGAAAAAACUGCGGAGUAACUUGAAAACUUCGUUUGAGGUGUUCCUGAUCUCCAAAAAUCACAAAAUUUAAACUAAAAUGUCCUAAAUAUUGUAUAUUUGAUCUGGAAAGUUUCGGUACUAAAAUCAACCCGCUGAAUAUUUUUCAAUUUUUAUUUGAUUUCAUCUUUUUUAUAUUUUUGACUUUUUCUACUGAUUUUUUUGCGGGAGAUAUUUUUUAAUAUUCUAUCACAGUUUCACAAAUAUGCAUAUAAAAUUUUAGACCAAUCGGACAACGUUUACCCACUCAAAUGAAUUUUUUUCCAAAAUUUUUCUGGGUAAAAACUACUAUAUGCUGUUUUUUUUAAAUGAAAUCAGUUUAGAAAUCAACCAAUGAUACAGCCACGCCUCAAGUCCAACCUAGCUCGAGCAAGGAGCCUUUGGAGCUGCCUCAAGGUCCAAUCACCCGAUCACGAGCUAAACAAUUCAAGGAGGCUGUUUCGGCCUUAGUAGAUCAAGUUUGGGGCGAGACUUUGGUUGGACGCAUUGAUGAAGCUUGGACAAACUCGAUGAGCCUUCCUUGCACUUUGUUACGAGCUGAAUUAAGCUCCACUUCAGCUCAUUAAAUUCGAACCAGCUCAAAAUUAGCUCAAAAUAACUUAGUCAAUCAUAUAGUAGCUGAAAUAAUUAAUUGAGUUAGUUAAAUUAGUUAUUUAAAAGCUUAAUUAAUUUUCGUUAUUAAAUUGGUCUUAAAUCUGGUCAAACUUAAUUAUGCAUGAUUAAUUGUGUUUUCUUAUAUGUUAUUAAGCCAAAUUCCUACAGCUCAUAAAUAAGUCUUAAUACAUGUUUUAAUGUGUCUUGUCCAAACUGAAUUAAUUAGACUUAGUUUAAUUAAUUGAGUUUUGUUUUAAUUAAUUGGAUUAAUGUUGUCUAAAUUUCGUUUUUAAUAUGAUUCAGCUGAAUAAUGAUCAACUAAAUUCAUUUGUUCAUGUUGUGUAGGUUGGCCGAAUGUGGGUGGAAGCAUUUAAGCUAGGUGCAUGCAUCAUAGGUUCAAUGAAUGUGGCGUUACAUGCAUGAGGAAUGUUCAGCUGAUUUUAAAUGAUUCAAGAACCAGCAUAAUGCCGUUCACACAUGAAGUUCACACUCUUGGCUUUUCGGUUUUGGAAUGUUCACACACAAAGACUCUUUGAAACCGAGUGUUCACACUUCAUUUGGCCAUUCAAAUCCCUCUUAAUGGCUGGUCACUUUUCAGCAAAAGCUACAAAUUAAAUGAGCUUAUUUAUGCACAUUGACCGAAUCUAGCUCAUCCAUGCACCAUUCAAGUUGUCCAAGGUUCAAUGUGAAUUCUAGAAGCUUUCCAAGUUCAGCCGAACCUAGCCAAGCCAUUGAAGAAUUCAUUAGCUUAGUUUUUAAGAAAAUGUAUGUGACUAUUCGGCUAACUUAGUUGCUGAUUAUAAAUAGCUGAAAUUUCAUUUUGUAAAGGACUUUUGACAUUUUUAAGUAACGAAUUGCUGCCAAAUUUGUGAGGUAUUUUCUCUCAAAUUUCGUUCGGGACCCGUAAGACUUAUCUAGCUUCUAGUGGCGUCUUUCCGAGUCUUUCUUUCGAACUUAUCACUCCCUAAACCUGAGUGUGGCGUUCACCUUUGAUACCUUUGGUUCAUACUUUACUAAGUAUCGGAUCAAGGUCCUUAUCAACCAUUUCCAACUCAAUUUGGUCCUAUAAGUUUCGGGUCGACACUUUUCUUUAGUGUUGGUUCACUCUUGACCUUUUUGAACCAUUACCAUUUCGUACCAAAUCCCUUACCAUUUCGUACCAAUUCCCAAAUACCAAAACGUACCAAAACCAAAUACCAUUUCUUAAUUAAUCCUAAACCGAACUCGACCAUUCUAGUCAUACCAUUUCGACUUAAACCAAAUCCAUAUCCAACUUUGCACGGACUUACUUUACUUCUUUGAACUCAAAUAUAUUCUAUCUUCUUCUGGUCUAAUAUACUUCUUCGUUUACGAUCGGGAACUAAACGACUAGGGUUCAACUACUAAACCGAGGUCGUAUCAACCAAGAACACACAAAAUGCCCAAAAUCUGAUACCAAAUGAUAAACUGAAAUUUAACUCAGAAAGACUCCCAAAAACUGAAUGUUUAUUGACACCAAAGAAUGUUGCCAAAACUGAUUCUUGAAGCUUCGAAUGGCUGAAAACAGCCUUCAAAACAGCCUUCAAAACAAAAUUUGGAUUGUAUGAUGAUACGAGUCACAAAAGCCCAAAUUCUUGAAGGCGAGGCCCAAUAAGCAAAUUCCCAGCCCAAUCAAGAAAUCCAUCCAUACUUAGUUGAAAAUCAGGCCAAAUUGUCAAAGUGGCCCAAGUUGUAAAGUUUUAUUUUUAUUUUUAUUUAUUUAUUUAUUUAUUUACUUAGUUUAAAUUUUUAUGUCAAUAUUCAGUCCAAGAGUCCCAGAUAAAAUGACCUUUGACCGAAUUUCCAUAUUAAAAUAAUUAGGAUUUUUUUUAUUUUAGUUUUCUAAUUAGAUUAGGACUAGUUAUAAGGCCUAUUUAAAGGCAUGGCUGUCCACCUUGUUAAACACUUAUCAUUAUUAUUAAAAUUUCAGAUUUGUUGAGAGCAGAAUUUUCUUUGAGUUUUCUCCAAGAUUUCUCUCUUGAGUUUUCUUUAGAAGUUGUUUUAAUAAUAUUUUGAUUGUGGGAGCCAUCUUCAACCUUCUUCUUGCCAUUGAUAUUCUUUGGAGGGGAGAUUAGAGCCGUUUGAAGGGAGUUGUGAGAUCUUUCGAGAUUUCAAGGCUUCUUAGGACUUAUCUUUUAAUUUCUUACUGUCAAUUCUUUCUUUAUUUCUACUUGUGCUGAAUCAUUAUCUAAUCUAUUUUCUGUUCUUAUUGUGUUUUCAGCCUUUUUCUAUCUUAAGGAAUCAGCCCAAAAAUCCCCAAUUUCUAGGGUUUUUCCAUACUCUUUUUGGGUGAAAUUAGAUUGUCGAAAUUUGGGGAAAACUAUCUUGGUGUUCAAUUGGGCAGAAUCACAAUAUCCUUGAGGGUUUCAAGAACCCUAACACUUAUUUCUAUUCUCAAUUUGAUUCUUUGCUGAUUUGGGGAUUUUAUUUCAGAUCUGGAAAUUCAAAGUUCUAAUCUUUUAAUUUUUCUGUUUCGUUUCGGAUCUGAUUGUUUAGGGUUUUCGUAGGAGUUUCCCGUGACUUGGCAACUUGAUCUUGGUCCGCGCGCGUCCCUUUAUCAUUUGGUAUCAGAUUUUGGGCGUUUUGGGUGUUCUUGGUUGAUUUCUAAACUGAUCUCUAUUUUUUAAAGCACAAACAGCGGUUUUACCUAGAAAAAUUGUUCAAAAAAAUUCAUUUGAGUGGGUAAACGUUGUCCGAUUGAUCUGAAAUUUUACAUACAUGUUUUUGGCACUGUGAUUGAAUAUAAAAAAAUUAUUUCCGCAAAAAAAUCAGUCAAAAAAGUCAAAAAAAUCAAAAAAUACGAAAUUCAAUAAAAAUUUAAAAAAAAGAUUCAGCGGGUUGAAUUUGGUGCCCAAAAUUUCCAGAUCAAAAAUUAAAUAUAUAAGGACACUCCAGAUUUAAUUUAGUGAUUUUUGGAGAUCGGGAACACCUCGAACGAAGUUGUCAAGUUACUCCGCAGUUUUUCGGGUUUUCUGGUUUUAGCAAUUUUUAUUGAUUCUUAGCUGUAGUUUUCAUUUGUUUGCUUUUAUUCUUCCGUUACGUUAUCUAACACCUUCUUGUUUCUUGUGUUAGUAGGAUUUACACGUGUGCACAACUCCUUCCUCGGUGCAACACGAAUCACUUGGUGUCUCGUCAGUUUUUGGCAUCCUAGUGCAAAUUAGGAUUCUUUGGUAGUUUGGUUCACACUCUCUAAUUGGUUGAUAUAAACUCUGAUAAAGAACUCACAAGAUUGAAUUCGACCUCAUUGAGAAUUUGAUUUUUCUUUUUGAGUGAUUAAUGGUGAGGUUUGCUAACUUUUAUUUUUGAGUGUUGAGUGUUUAUUUUUUACAGGUUUUGAAGAUGUCUAAAGGUGAUAAUAAUGAUGCACUUAUGAAAGUCCAACAACAGUUAGACGAACAUACUGCUGCAAUCACACAAAUAAAUGCUACACUUCAAGCAUUGAAUACUACUUUGAAUGAGGUACGAGUGAAUCAAAAACAUCAAUAUCGAGAUCCAAUAAAGGAAGAUAGGGAUAACCAGCCCUAUAGGUGCAGCCCUCAACGUGUCCCUAGAAUGGAUGAUGAUUUUCAUGAUCGUGGACAAUCAUCUUUGGUAAAACCAAAGAGCGAACAGCAACGAGAACAUCUUUUUCAUACUCGCUGCCAUGUACAAGGUAAGCUUUGUAGAGUUAUUAUUGAUGGUGAAAGUUGCUCGAACAUAGCCAGCACGACGAUGGUGGAAAAGCUUUGCUUAACCACUACCAAGCAUCCACAACCUUAUCAACUACAAGGGCUUAGCAACGAAGGCCAAUUUAGGGUCACUCAACAAGUGCGCAUCGCCUUUUCUAUCGGUAAGUAUCAAGACGAAGUUGUGUGCGACGUAAUGCCUAUUCAAGCCUGCCAUUUGUUGCUAGGAGAACCAUGGCAACUGGAUCGAAAAGUCACUCACAAUGGUCGUACCAAUAGGUAUUCUUUCAAGCAUCAAGGAAAGAAACUCACCUUAGUGCCGCUCACUCCGGAACAAGUCCAUGAGGACCAAAUCAAACUGAAAAAUUCUGUUAAAACAAGUGAGGAAAAAGAAAAAGAGAAUGAAAAAGAGCAAAAAGAGAUUGAGAGUGAAAAAGAAAUUGAAGAAAGAAGAGAAAAUGAAUUAGAAAAAGAAACAAAUGAAAAAGAUGUGGAAAGGGUAGUGAGGAAUGUUUCCACUAACCAAGAUAUGAAUUUUUCUUGUGUUGCUACUUUUCAGGUUCCCGAAAGAUCGAAAGAUAACUUUCAACUUCAAUACCUCUCAAAUGAAAGACGCUUUCAUACGAUCAACUUAAGCAAAGAUGAAAUCACACUACAUGAUCCCGAAGGUAAGCGAGGUAAGGAAAUUUUAGAAACCGAGUCCAGUGCAGAUUUAAAAAUUAUUGAUAAAACUUUUGGUGACUUAGUUCUUAAAAGAUCCCCUCAUUUUGAUCCGAUUAAUUGUUACUCUUUGAUUGUGGUUGAUAAAGUCAUUACGAAAAAAAGCGUGAUUUGUUAUUCUCUUGAUUUACCUUGUGUAAAAUCCUUGAAUUUUUCCAAAUCUGUUUUGGAGAAUAAGGUAACGAAAUUUUCCAAAUUUGUUUUCAAUUUAUAUUCGUGCCUUAAACAGUUUAUGUGGUUGUACAUGAAGUUUGAGUUCCAUUUGACAAACGUUAACUCAACAACGAAGAUUCGACUACACUAUGCCCCCGAUGAGCGAAGGUUUGUUUUAAAUGAAAAAGGUAAAAUCGACCCUUAUUCUUCUGCUUAUUGAGGUAAGAUGCUUGAAACCUUUGAAACAUUUUUGUACUCCUCGGAUAGUGAUAAAGAUCGUGUUGAUGAACACUUAGAUCGAAACGUGCUUGACUGUCCUAUUUUAUUUAUUGAUGAUCUAUCUGUUUUGAUGGUUGAUAAAAAGAUUCUUGUUUUUGAUAAUGCAUGUGUGAGUGAAUCUAUAGACCGUCGAUUAAUGCAUGGUAUGAUUAUGCAAAUCUGUGAACCAUGUGAAUCUUUUCAAAUACCUACUUGUGACGAUUAUGUUUACCAUUUGAUUUAUUACUCGCAAUUUAUUCAUGGUUUGUGGGAACAAUGUGAGACGACUGAAUGCCUUAAAACAUGUCCAUCUUUGUUUUAAAUAUUUGACGAGGCAGUGGUGAGUAAAUUAGAUUGUUUGCAUGGUAAUCUGAAUCUGUCCAUUCACAUGCGUUAUACCUGUUCUGUUAUGCUUAUGAUUGGACUACAAGCUUGUUUCCGUUGCUAUUUACUAUCUCAUGGUUAUUCUUCUCAGUGGACUCAAUUGCCAUUAGUCACGUUCGAUAGAGGAAAGUCGAGUUCAUUUGAUUUUUCAGAUUCGAGGAUGAAUCUUUUUGAGGAAGGGGGGAAUGAUACGAGUCACAAAAGCCCAAAUUCUUGAAGGCGAGGCCCAAUAAGCAAAUUCCCAGCCUAAUCAAGAAAUCCAUCCAUACUUAGUUGAAAAUCAGGCCAAAUUGUCAAAGUGGCCCAAGUUGUAAAGUUUUAUUUUUAUUUUUAUUUAUUUAUUUAUUUAUUUACUUAGUUUAAAUUUUUAUGUCAAUAUUCAGUCCAAGAGUCCCAGAUAAAAUGACCUUUGACCGAAUUUCCAUAUUAAAAUAAUUAGGAGUUUUUUUUAUUUUACUUUUCUAAUUAGAUUAGGACUAGUUAUAAGGCCUAUUUAAAGGCAUGGCUGUCCAUCUUGUUAAACACUUAUCAUUAUUAUUAAAAUUUCAGAUUUGUUGAGAGUAGAAUUUUCUUUGAGUUUUCUCCAAGAUUUCUCUCUUGAGUUUUCUUUAGAAGUUGUUUUAACAAUCUUUUGAUUGUGGGAGCCAUCUUCAACCUUCUUCUUGCCAUUGAUAUUCUUUGGAGGGGAGAUUAGAGCCGUUUGAAGGGAGUUGUGAGAUCUUUCGAGAUUUCAAGGCUUCUUAGGACUUAUCUUUUAAUUUCUUACUGUCAAUUCUUUCUUUAUUUCUACUUGUGCUGAAUCAUUAUCUAAUCUAUUUUCUGUUCUUAUUGUGUUUUCAGCCUUUUUCUAUCUUAAGGAAUCAGCCCAAAAAUCCCCAAUUUCUAGGGUUUUUCCAUACUCUUUUUGGGUGAAAUUAGAUUGUCGAAAUUUGGGGAAAACUAUCUUGGUGUUCAAUUGGGCAGAAUCACAAUCUCCUUGAGGGUUUCAAGAACCCUAACACUUAUUUCUAUUCUCAAUUUGAUUCUUUGCUGAUUUGGGGAUUUUAUUUCAGAUCUGGAAAUUCAAAGUUCUAAUCUUUUAAUUUUUCUGUUUCGUUUCAGAUUAAUUGUUUAGGGUUUUCGUAGGAGUUUCCCGUGACUUGGCAACUCGAUCUUGGUCCGCGCGCAACCCUAUAUCAUAUGAAUGGUUAGUUAUGCCUUUCGGUCUUACUAAUGCACCUAGUACAUUUAUGAGAUUAAUGAAUCAUGUUUUAAGGCUUCACUUGGGUAAAUUUGUAGUAGUUUAUUUUGAUGACAUUUUAAUUUACUCAAAGACAUUAGAUGAUCAUGUUUUCCAUGUUCAAACCGUUUUGAAUAUUCUACGAGCUGAAAGAUUAUUUGCUAACCUUGAUAAAUGCACAUUCUGUUGUGAUAAACUAAUAUUUUUAGGUUUCAUAGUUAGUGCUCAAGGUAUUCAUGUCGACGAGGAUAAAGUCAAGGCAAUUAAGGAGUGGCCGACUCCUAAAUCGGUAACUGAGGUGAGAUCUUUCCAUGGUUUAGCUAGUUUUUAUAGACGAUUUGUGAAAGAUUUCUCUACUAUUGCUGCCCCAUUGACAGAGGUUAUAAAGAAAUCAGUGGGUUUCAAAUGGGGUGAAACCCAAGAAAAGGCCUUUCAAACUCUAAAAGCUAAGUUAUGUUCUGCUCCUUUGCUUAAAUUACCUGAUUUUGCUAAAACUUUUGAACUUGAGUGUGAUGCUUCAGGAAUUGGAAUCGGCGCCGUUUAAUGCAAGAUAAGUAACCUAUUGCUUAUUUUAGUGAGAAAUUGAAUGGUGCACAGUUAAACUAUUCGACCUAUGAAAAAGAACUAUUAGCAUUAGUUCGUGCACUUCAAGUAUGGCAACAUUACUUGCUACCCAAUGAGUUUGUCAUACAUACAGAUCAUGAAUCCCUUAAAUGGUUAAAGUGAAAAGGGAAAUUGAGUAAACGGCAUGCCCGAUGGGUAGAAUUCAUUGAAACAUUUCCUUAUGUAAUACAAUAUAAAACAGGUAAAGAUAAUGUAGUUGCAGAUGCUUUGUCUAGACGAUAUGCUUUAAUAACUACAUUGAAUGCUAAAGUCUUAGGGUUCGAACAUAUUAAGGAACUAUAUGAUGAUGAUGCUGAUUUCGGCCAUAUCUAUAAGAAUUGUGGACAUACUGCUUUUGAUAAAUUUUAUCUUGUAGAUGGCUUUCUUUUUCGUAUGAACAGGUUAUGCAUACCAAAGUGUUCCAUGAGAGACUUAUUGAUUCAUGAAGCCCAUAAUGGGAGUUUAAUGGGACAUUUUGGAGUGGCCAAAACACUGGAUAUCUUGCAAGAACACUUUCAUUGGCCACAUAUGAAGAAAGAUGUGGAAAAGGUAUGUUCCAAGUGCAUUACAUGUAAACAGGCAAAAUCUAAGGUAAUGCCUCAUGGCCUUUACACUCCUUUACCGAUUCCUACUUCUCCUUGGAUAGAUUUAUCUAUGGAUUUUAUUUUAGGUUUGCCUCUAACCAAGAAAGGAAGAGAUAGUAUAUUUGUUGUUGUUGACAGGUUUUCAAAAAUGGCACAUUUUAUUCCUUGUCACAAAAUAGAUGAUGCUAAACAUGUGGCAGACUUAUUCUUUAAAGAAGUGGUAAGACUUCAUGGCAUCCCUCAAACGAUUGUUUCUGACAGAGAUGUCAAAUUCCUUAGCCACUUUUGAAAGGUAUUGUGGGGUAAGCUUGGUACUAAAUUACUUUAUUCUACUACAUGUCACCCCCAAACUGAUGGCCAAACUGAAGUAGUUAAUCGAAUCUUAGGGACUUUAUUACGAGCUGUUGUGGGAAAGAACAUUAGAAAUUGGGAAGAAUGCCUACCAUUUGUUGAAUUUGCAUAUAAUAGAUCUAUUCAUUCUACAAUGGUUAUUCUCCAUUUGAACUUGUUUAUGGUUUUAACCCACUAACAGUACUUGAUCUUGCGCCAUUACCUCUUGAACACAUUAUGAAUUUAGAUGGCGAACAGAAAGCUGAGUUGGUGAAAUCCUUACAUGAGAAGGCUAGGCAGCGAAUAACCAAAACAAAUGAUGCCAACACCAACAAAGUAAACAAGGGACGCAAACGGGUUGUACUAGAACCCGGAGAUUGGGUUUGGGUUCAUUUGAGGAAAGAACGAUUUCCUACAAAAAGGAAGACUAAGUUGGACCCAAGGGGCGAUGGUGAUGUGAUUCGGCUCGGUUGAUUGAGUCGAUUCACUUGAUUACCCGAUCGUCGACGAGAAGUUUGUUCGAUUUUGUAGAUAGAUGGAGUUAGAUGAUUUUUUAUAGCGGAAGUUGAGAAAAUGGGUUCAAAAGAUGGUUUGGAUAGAUGUUUGAUAGGCUCGGUGAAAUAAAGAAAUAUUGUUUAUAAUUUAAUAGUUAAAAUGGAAUGGAAAAAUUGAACUCAAGCGAAGAACGAUUCAAUACUAUAUGAAGUAUUGCCCCGGGACUUAUAUUGCUCAAGGUGGAUUAAAUGGAUUGUCGAAGAUGGACCUUGACCCGUUACCUAUAGAGAGGUAGGAACCAAAGGUAUAAAAAGGUGGAUGAACGCCACACCAGGAUGGUGAUAAGUUCAAGAAGUCGGGUUGACGCCACUAGCGAGCUAGAUAAGUCAGAACGAGACUCGUACGAAAUAGGAUAGGAGGAAACCUCACAAUCAAGCUUUCAAUAAUCAAAUUCUGUAACCUUUUACAAUAAACAAAAUAAACUAUUUAUAGGCUCUCUAAUGCCUAUUAAAAUUCAGCUACUAAUGUGUUCACACAACAAUUAAAAAUGUUCACACUUCAAGCAUUAAAUCUCUGUUCAUGGAUAGUGUAAGUUCAUGCAUGGUUGAAUAAUCAUGUUUCUUCCCAAAACCCGUUCAUGCAUGCUUAACCAAUAAGAAAGCUUCCUUGUUCCAUGAAUGUGCAUCUUCAAUUCAUAUCCAACCCCUCUUGGACGAAUGCUAGGUGCAUGGAUCAUGCAUCUCUCUUAAUUAAAACUUUAAUGAUGGGCUGGUUCAUGAAUGGAAGCAUGUACCUUGUAAAUUCGUUCUCCCCUUUGUACAUGCACAUUAUACAUUCAAUGUGAUGAAUUAAGGUAAUAUUCCCUCCCUUUGGACGUUCAUGAAUCCACCCAUACACAUGUAUAGGAGCUGAUUGGUCAAAUUGAGGUGUGAAUGGCUUAGAUGCUGCCUUGGGAAUACGACCGGCCAAGCUUGUGCUUUAAGUUGCUGGACACCUUUUGGCCAAAUAGGUGCCUUGGGGAGCCAAAUGGAUCAGCCACCAUUCAUUGAAAGAGGCCUUACAUGCACCGUCCCAUACAUUGAACCUAUCAUGCAUGAACCUUGUUUAAUUACUCUCCAAAUUCAACUCACCUACAAAAACACAUGAACCAAAAUUAAAUCACAUAAAAUUCAGCUGAACAAACAUUAAUAUAAUUUAGACACACUAAUUAAACAUAAAUUAAAUUAGACAAAUUUAAUAAAGUCUUAACAAGACAUAUUAAAUUCGGCCAAGACACAUUUAAAACAUGUAAUAAGUCAAAACAUAAUUAUGAGCUGUAGUAAUUUAAGCUAAAUUAAUAAAUUACUUAAUUUAUUCAGACAUUAAAAUAAAUGAGUUGAAAUAAACUUAAGCCAAGCUCAAACGAGCUAAAGUAAGCUAAAUUGAGCUCAAACGAGCUAAAUUAAGCUCAUGUGAGCUAAAUCGAGCUGGGAAAAACUAAGAUUGAGCUUGUUGAGCUGAGAUUGAGCUUCAUCUUGCACUUGGGGCCCUCGUGUUUAGGCCAAUCAUGAUAGCAACGAGUGGUGCCACAACAUGAUGCGAUUGAGAUCACAUCAGAUGGGCCUUUCCAAGUACUCGAGAAGAUCAACGACAACGCCUAUAAAAUUGAUCUACCUGGUGAGUACAAUGUAAGUUCUACUUUUAAUGUGGCUGACUUGUCCCCAUUUGAUUUUUCAGAUUCGAGGACGAAUCUUUUUGAGGAAGGGGGAAUGAUACGAGUCAUAAAGGCCCAACCCAAGUUCAAGAAAGUGAUGGGCUCAAAUUGCCACAAGGCCCAAUAACGAGAUCAAAGGCCUGACAAAUGCGGUCCAAACUAAAUGGGACCAUUCAAGAGUUUGUUAGCAAGGCCUUAGAUGCAUACACGAGAGAACAAGAAAAUCAAGAUUCACUUUCUUGUUUUCAAGAAAAUCAAGAAACCGAAUCUUGGCCCAAUUAUGCUGUUCGAAGAGAUUUCAAGAAUCAAGAAAAUCAAGAUUUCAAAUCUUGGAAAUCUUGGUCCAAGAAACCAAAUCUUGCAGCCAACACGCAUUGGAUCUCCGUUACGAGCAUCAACGACCCAAUUUCGGAAGGAGAUGGAUCACGAGCCCAAAUUCUUGAAGGUGAGGCCCAAUAACCAAAUUCCAGCCCAAUCAAGUAAUUCCUUCAUAUUUAGUUGAAAAUUAGGCCAAAAUGUCAAAGGGCCCAAUUUAUAAACAUUUUAAUUAUUUAAUUUAAUUUUUUAAGCUGUAGGAACAUCCAUGUAAAAUUCGGCCCAAAAAUAGCCCAUAUAUAUGCUUGGCCGAAUUUUCCUUUAUUUUAUUCUAUUAAUUAGGUUUAAUUUUAUUAGUUACUUGUUAGAUUAGGAUUACUUGAGGCCUAUUUAAAGGCAUGGCCAGCCACCCCUUGUACAUAACACUUAGAUUCAUUCUUUAAUUUCAGAUUUGAGAGAGCAGAAUUUUCUUUGAGUUUUCUCCAAGAUUUCUCUCUUGAGUUUUCUUUAGAAGUUGUUUUAACAAUCUUUUGAUUGUGGGAGCCAUGUUCAACCUUCUUCUUGCCAUCGAUAUUCUUUGGAGGGGAGAUUAGAGCCGUUUGAAGGAAUUUGUGAAUUCUUUCGGGAAUUCAAGGGUUCUUAGGACUUUUCUUUAUUUCUUGCUGUUUCGUUUUAUUUCUUUAUUCCUACUUGUGCCGAUUCUUUAUCUCAUUUGUUUGCUGUUCUUCUUUUUUUUCUAGCCAUAUUCAACUCAAAGAAUCGAAUUAAAUCAUCAUUCAUUGGCAGCAAAGAGUCGUUCUCAAAAAUCCCCAAUUCUUAGGGUUUGGCCGAUUGGAUCUCCUUCAAUUUGGGGAUCAAUUGAUUGCUGGAAAUUAGGCAUUCUUGGCCGAAUCGAUCCCUUGGCAGAUUCGCAUGCUUUCCAUACUUUCAAUUCCGUUUGAUUCGCUUAUUCUAUUUCUUUGUUUCUUGCUACUCUUUUAAUUGAAUUUGGGGAAUUUCAAUUCAAUUCUGACUUGCUUUUAAUCUUGUUCUUUGUUUUGAAUUCAGAUCUGAUUCAUCUAGAGCUUUCAUAGGAGUUUCUCGUGACUUGGCAACUCGAUCUUGGUCCGCGCGCAACUCUUUAUCACCUUCCCUCAUUCGAAUUUGAUGAUAACCACUUUUUAAAUCAAUUUUUGUAAAUAUAAUUGAACCAUGUAAUUCAUCAAGCAUAUCAUCAAGUCUAGGAAUUGGAUGUCGAUACUUUACCAUUAUUUUGUUGAUUGGGCGACAAUCAACACACAUACGAAACGUACCAUCUUUCUUUGGCACCAAUAAGACAGGAACAACAUAAGGGCUUAGGCUUUCACGGAUGUACCCUUUGUCUAGUAACUACUCAACUUGCCUUUACAAUUCUUUUGUCUCCUCGGGAUUGCAUCUAUAGGCUGGUCGAUUCGGAAUCGAAGCUCCGGGUACUAAGUCAAUUUGAUGUUAAUCCCUCGUAAAGGUGGUAAACCUUUAGGGGCCUCACUAAAAAUAUCCUCAUAAUCCUGCAAAAGAGAUUGAAACACACUAGGCAAAUUUUCGUUAACGUUAGAUAAAGGUAAAUAAUUUUGCCUAAACCUCAUAAGGAUACAAGGCUGUUUAUUGAGUAGGGCUCUCCUCACAUCUUUUUUUGUUGCCAAAAGAAUUUUUUCGCUCAUUUUACCACUUGUUGAUUCACUCACCUUUGGGCUUUUUAAAUUUUGACUUUUUUUACUAUUAGCCUCUUUUCUCUCUGUCUUUUGUAUUUGCUCUUUCUCCCUUACCCCCUUACAAAAUUUUAUCAUCUUCAAUUGAUCUUUGUAUACAUCAAUAGGAUUUAAAGGAGAAAAAGUGAAUUUCUUACCUUUAAAUACAAGGGAGUAUCGAUUAAGUUUACCUUGGUGUGUAACAUCACGAUCAAAUUGCCAAGGCCGUCCAAGAAGCAAAUGUGCAGCAUGCAUUGGGACCACAUCACACCAUACUUCAUCCUCAUAAUUACCAAUCUUAAAAGUGACCAAGGACUGUUUCGUAACUUUGACUUCGGAGCAUUCAUUAAGCCAUUGAAGGUGAUAUGGCUUAGGGUGUUUAGUACAAGGUAACUUUAAAGAAUCCACCAAAUAGCUACUCACUGCAUUCGAGCAACUCCCACUAUCAAUAAUGAUUGAACAUAAGUUACCUUUAAUAAAACACCGAGAAUGAAAAAUAUUGGUCCUUUGGUUGUCAUCAUGAUACAGCCACGCCUCAAGUCCAACCCAGCUCGAGCAAGGAGCCUUUGGAGUUGCCUCAAGGUCCAAUCACCCGAUCACGAGCUAAACAAUUCAAGGAGGCUGUUUCGGCCUUAGUAGAUCAAGUUUAGGGUGAGACUUUGGUUGGACGCAUUGAUGAAGUUUGGACAAACUCGAUGAGCCUUCCUUGCAUUUUGUUACGAGCUGAAUUAAGCUCCACUUCAGCUCAUUAAAUUCGAACUAGCUCAAAAUUAGCUCAAAAUAACUUAGUCAAUAAUAUAGUAGCUGAAAUAAUUAAUUAAGUUAGUUAAAUUAGUUAUUUACAAGCUUAAUUAAUUUUCGUUAUUAAAUUGGUCUUAAAUCUGGUCAAACUUAAUUAUGCAUGAUAUUUUUGUUAUUAUGACAUGUUAUUAAUUUUGUCUUAAUUUAUACAGCUUAUAAAUAUGUUCUUAAGCUUGUUUUUAAUAUGUUAACUUUAUUACUUGUUUUUAUUAUGUCCUAAGGCUGCCGAAUUUAAUGUGCAGCAUUUUAGUGUUAAUUUAAUGUGUCUAAACAUGAAUUUGAAUUAUUUGAUGAAUGUUGCUGCAGGUACAUCAUCCAUGAACGUUUUUGGAGCAUGAAAGGUAUUAAAGGAGGGUACAUGAAGGGGACGGCACAUGCAUGAAUGGGAGAAUGAAGUUGGCUGCUGUUUGAAGUCUCCUAAGUGACCAUUCAGCCGAAUUUACUGCUUACACACUGUUGAAUACAUCAUGGCUGUUCGGAUCAAGGUGUUCACAUUCAAAGACUCUUCAAAACUUGGUUUUCACACUCAAAGUGACUACUCAACAUCUUCUUAAUUGCUGGUAAUUUUUCAGCAAUAGUUGCCAAUUAAAUGAGCUCCUUUAAGCACAUCAACCGAAUGUAGCUGCUGCCAUUUACUCCCUCAAGCUCCAAGUUCAAUUGUCCAUCUAGAAGGUGACCAUUGGAGCUCCAAGUUCAGCCGAAUCUAGCUAUCCCAUUUAAGUAAUUCAUUUGCUUAAUUUUUAAGGAAUUUAAGUGACCAUUCGGCUAGCCUAGUGGAUUAUUAUAAAUAGCUGAAUUUUCACUUUGUAAGGGACUUUUGACAAUUUAAUUAGCGAAUUGCUGCCAAAUUUGUGAGGCAUUUUCUCUCAAAUUUCGUUCGAGACCCGUAAGACUUAUCUAAGCUUUUAGUGGCGUCUUUCCGAGUCUUUUCCAAACUUAUCACUCUUUAAACCUGAGUGUGGCGUUCACCUUUUGAUACGAACUUGUCUCGUGAUGUUUUGAGUCGUAUGUGUUGCCCAAUCGUGAAUUGAGUAGGGAUGGAUUCGUUUCGAUUUUAAAAUGAAAUAAAAUAGAGAUAAUGGCUUCAAACAAAGGUAAUAAACAAAAUAAAGAGGAAACAAUAACAAAUUAAUUGGCUAAGACCGAAAAUGAACCAACAAUAAUGAAUUGUUGACCCGAAUCUCAAAAUGGUCUUUAGGUGUUUUCGGUUAAAGGAAACAGGAAAGGAACCUUGACCCACUAUCAACUAUGAUAGGAACCAAAGGUAUAUUGAACGCCACACCAAAGGUGAUAAGUUCAGCAACAAAGAAAAGAUGGACGCCACAAGCUAUGCUUGAUAAGUCAAAUCAAUUCCGAAAGAACAAAGAGAAUUGGAUAGCUCACAAUUCAAAUAUUUCAUCUAUAUUCAGCAAAAAGUUGUUCCUUCUAUGGCUGAUUACAUCUAUUUAUAAUGCUAGAACAAGGUAAUCGAAUGGUCAAAAACAUCCACUUAAUGUGCCAUAAAAAAUUGAUGUCUUUUCUUAUUCUUUGAACCAAAUAACUCCUUCCAUAAAAUCACUUUAAUUCAGCUGAUUUGAAUGUCUUUAAUGGCUUAGAAAAUGACUCUUGAGUUGUCCCUGGCUAGUUGAAUAGACACCAUCUCUUACCAGCUCCUUAAUGACAUUCAAAGGCUUGAUUAAUUUCUCUUAAAAGCUCCAAAAACGGCUGGAAGUGGAAGAGUUGCUGCUGAAUUUUAAAGGGCAUAAAAUGCUCUUUAAAAACUCCUUUUAAUGAUCUUUAAGCUCCUUUUUUUAACAGCCCCUUUAAUUGUAACUCAAAAGAACUUGAACAGCCACUUAUUAAAUGUGUAACAGCCUUGAAUUGUAACCACUAUAAGCUAAAAAGUCACCUGCAAUAAACACAUUAAAAUGAGUUUAUUAAACACAUUAAAACACUUAUUAAUCAUAACACAUAUUAAACUUACUUAAAUAAAUGAACUAAAACAUAUAUGCAAUUAUUAUUCCAGCAACUAGUUUAAUUAAAGAAGCAUAAUUUAAAGAACUUAAUUUAUGCAUCAAUAAAUAAUCCUAGGAACUAGAUCAAUUAAAAAGCAUCUUAUUUAAUAAAGUUCAAUAACUAACUCAUGUAUUAAAACUUUAAGAUAAGUUAAAUUAAUUGAUCAGCAACUUAUUUAUUAAACUAAAACAAGUUAAUUAAAAGAAACAAAUUCAGCUUGCAAUAAAUUGCAAGUAACGCCUUUUGAACGGUUUGAAGCACGACUAUCAAAUCCGGCCACUCCCUCUUCCCAAGCUCGUUCCACAUAGCUUGCUAUUGCAUUUUGAAAUCUCUUAGCUCGUGAUCGACUUAUUGGUCCUCGUGGCAGCUCAAUGGAUUCGGUAGUAAUUUCCCGGGCUAAGGUUGCAUCAUAAUUUGAGCCCAUCACGUUCUUGGGCUUGGGUUGGGCCUUUGGUAGUUUGAUUCAUACACUUUCUAAUGGUUGAUAUAAACUCUACUAAAGAACUCACAAGACUGAAUUCUACCUCAUUGAGAAUUUGAUGUUUUCUUUUUGAGUGAUUAACGGUGAGGUUUGCUAACUUUUCUUUUUGAGUGUUGAGUGUUUAUUUUGCAGGUCUUUGAAAAUGUCUAAGGUUGGUCAAGGUGAUAAUGAUCAUAAUGAUGUCUACGACACAUUUACAAAAUUCCAACAAUAGUUAGACGAACAAGCUGCCUUACUCAGAACUUUGAGUGCUACUUUAAAUGAGGUACGAUUGAAUCAAGAGCCUCAAUAUCGAGAUCCAAUUAAAGAAGAUAUGGAUAACCAGCCUCCUACUCAUCGGCGUGGUCCUCGACAUGUCCCUAGAACUGACUCUGAUUUUCAUGAUCGUGGGCAACCCUCUUUGGCAAAAUCGAAGUUCACAAUUCCCUAAUUUCGUGGUAAGAAUGAUCCAGAAGCUUAUUGUGAAUGGGAAUAAAAAAUUGAACUUAUGUUUCAAUAUUAUAAAUGUCUGGAUGAUGAAAAGGUAGCAUUAGCAACGCUGGAGUUUUCAGAUUAUGCAUUAAGUUGGUGGACUCAACUUGGGUAAAUCGUCAUCGGAAUUAUGAAGGUGAGAUUUUGACAUGGGAUGAGUUGAAACAGAUUAUGCGUGAAAGAUUUAUUCCACCUCACUACUAUAGAGAGAUUAAAACAAAGCUUAGAAGACUUGUUCAAGGUAGUAGGACGGUGGAUGAAUAUUUUAAGGAGAUGGAGAUGCUCAUUCAGAAAGCUAAUGUGGAGGAGGAUGAGGAAACAACUAUGGUUCGAUUUAUUGAUGGUUUGAACAGGCCGAUAGCUAAUACAUUGAGGCUACAAACUUACAUUAAUUUGGAAGAAGCAAUUCACAAAGCCAUUGAGAUCGAGCAACAAUUAAAGGAACAAAGGUUUGGUUCCUUCUCUAUGAUACGAGUCACAAAGGCCUUAGGAUGCGUACACGAAAGAAAGAGAAAAUCAAGAUUCACUUUCUUGUUUUCAAGAAAAUCAAGAAACUGAAUCUUGGCCCAAUCUUGCUAUUUGGAGUGAUUUCAAGAAUCAAGAAAAUCAAGAUUUCAAAUCUUGGAAAUCUUGGUCCAAGAAACCAAAUCUUGCAGCCAAAUUGCAUUGGAUCUCCGUUACGAGCCUCAACGACCCAAUUUCGAUAAGAGAUGGAAUACAAGCCCAAGUUUUUGAAGGCAAGGCCCAAUAAGAUGAGUCCAAGCCCAAACAAGAAGACAAACCAUACUUACUUGAAAUUCAGGCCAAAUUGUCAAAGUGGCCCAAUUUGUAAAGUUUUAUUUUUUAAAUACUUAGUUUAAAUUUUUAUGUAGAUAUUCAGUCCAAGAGGCCCAGUUAAAAUCCCUUGGCUGAAUUUCCAUUUAAAUAUUAAAAUAAUUAGGAGUUUUUUUUAUUUUUAGUUUUCUAAUUAGAUUAGGAAAACACUUGAGAGGCCUAUAUAAAGGCUUGGUCAGCCACCUUGUUAUUCACUUCUCAAUUAUAUUGAAAAUUUCAGAUUUGUUUAAGUACAGAAUUCUCUUUGAGUUUUUCUCCAAGAAUUCUCUCUUGAGUCUUCUUUAGAAGUUGUUUUAACAAUCUUUUGAUUGUGGGAGCCAUCUUCAACCUUCUUCUUGCCAUUGAUAUUCUUUGGAGGGGAGAUUAGAGCCGUUUGAAGGGAGUUGUGGAAUCUUUUAGGAUUUCAAGGCUUCUUAGGACUUAUCUUUUAAUUUCUUGCUGUCAAUUUUUUCUUUUAAAUUCUGCUUGUGUCAAUUUUUUUAAUCACUUUGUUUGUUGUUCUUGUUGCGUUUCAGACUUUCCAAAACUCCAAGAUCUAAUUCGACACUUACUUGGAAAUAAAGAAAUGUUUUUGAUUUCACAAAACCCCCUCUUUUCUUACCGUCCAAUCCCUAGAAUUAGUUUCAAUUGAUUUCGUAAUCUGUUUUAAUUUAUUUGCUGUUUUGUGUUCUUUGAUAGAUUCGGCUGAUUGGAAGUUAAUCUUGGGGCUUAAUUUAAAGAACUUAAUUUAUGCAUCAAUAAAUAAUCCUAGGAACUAGAUCAAUUAAGAAGCAUCUUAUUUAAUAAAGUUCAAUAACUAACUCAUGUAUUAAAACUUUAAGAUAAGUUAAAUUAAUUGAUCAGCAACUUAUUUAUUAAACUAAAACAAGUUAAUUAAAAGAAACAAAUUCAGCUUGCAAUAAAUUGCAAGUAACGCCUUUUGAACGGUUUGAAGCACGACUAUCAAAUCCGGCCACUCCCUCUUCCCAAGCUCGUUCCACAUAGCUUGCUAUUGCAUUUUGAAAUCUCUUAGCUCGUGAUCGACUUAUUGGUCCUCGUGGCAGCUCAAUGGAUUCGGUAGUAAUUUCCCGGGCUAAGGUUGCAUCACCUUUGAUACCUUUGGUUCAUACUUUCCUAAGUAUCGGGUCAAGGUCCUUUUCAACCAUUUCCAAUUCAUUUAGGUCCUAUAAGUUUCGGGUCGACACUUUUCUUUAGUGUUGAUUCAUUCUUGACCUCUUUGAACCAUUACCAAUUCGUACCAAAUACCAUACCAUUUCGUACCAAAUACCAUACCAUUUCGUACCAAUUCCAUACCAUUUCGAACCAAUUCCCAAAUACCAAAACGUACCAAAACCAAAUACCAUUUCUUAAUUAUCCUAAACCGAACUCGUCCAUUCUAUUCAUACCUUUUCGACUUAAACCAAAUCCACAUCCAACUUUGCACGAACUUAUCUUACUUCUUUGAACACAAAUAUAUUCUAACUCUUUCUCGUCAAUUCUACUUCUUCGUUUACGAUCAGGAACUAAACGACUCAAACUCAACUACUAAAUCGAGAUCGUAUCACAUCAUCUUUCAUCUGGAUGUUAAGUGUUCGGCGAACUACAAGGCACGAAAAAUCAGCAAAGUCCCCUUCGUUUGGUGGUUCAACCAACUCUUCGCCAUUAUCACUGUCAUCUACAAGUUCUGGCUUAUCUGGAUCUGUUUUAUCAGAGUCAGAAGUGUACUCACCAUUAUCUUUUAGAAGAAGUAAUCUCGUGUUAGGGCAUUCCCUACUAUAAUGACCACGCCCUUUGCACUUAAAGCAUUCAAUCUCACGAGUCCUCUUCGCACUCGAAUCACCUAAAUUGGGCUGCUUAGAAGGUAUUUGCGUUUUAGCAGGAGCCCCUUUUUCCAAUCUGAUUGCUUGUUACUCAAAGAAGACUUAUUAGUAACAAAAGGUGGUUUUGAACUCUUAAAAUCAAAAUUGGAAUUGUUACCUCGGUAAUAUUGUGAAGUAGAGAUGAUACGGCCACGCCUUGGGCACACUUUUGGACCAGCUCCCUAAGCAUUGUUUGCAAAUCCAUGCAAGCUGAAUUAGUUCAAUUCCUUCUCAUUGAGCUCUGUUUAGCUUGUUUCCAGCUCACUCGAGCUCAAGUCAACUCAUUCAAGCUCAAUUCAGCUCAAUCUUAACCCAAUGAGCUUAUUUUUAGCUUUCUUUAGCUUGCAUUUAUUUUCCUGAAAUAAACCAUUUAAUUUGUCUUUAGUUGAAUUAGUUGUUUAUUUUAAGUUAAUUAAUUUGUUAAAUCUGGACAAAUAAUUAAUUAAGUGUUUUAAUUAUAUCUAAAUUAAAUACUUAAUUAAUUAUGAUGUUUUAAAUAUGUCUGAAAUUGUUAAUGAGUAUGGCCAAAUUUAAUGUGCAAAUUAUUGAGUUCAUAUGCUGCUAAUUUAAUGUGUUUGAAAUGCAUUUAACUUGCUGAUUUAAUUUGCUGUAGGUUCAUGAACGGAUUGGUGUAAUGUAUGGGAGUGUGCAUGCACAAUUGAGGUUCAAUGGAUGGCAUUUAAAGGAGCACAUGCAUUUGGGACGUUCAUGCAAGAGGGAGUUGCUGAAAGUUCAUGUAUUUGAAGAUUCAUGGAUCAUAUUUAUGGGGGAAAAUACAUGGGACGUUUCAUGCAUGAUUCAUGCGUUUUCAAGAUGACCAUUCAAGUAUUUUAGGCACAUUAAUGCCUCAUUCAGCCAAGGGAGAUAGAUGUAGGAUCAUUAAAGAGCUGCACAUUCAUGGAAUUAUGGAGAUUCUUCAAGGCUAAGGAUGCAUGAAUGCAUCAAGUGAAGCAUCAUGAUGGUUCAGCCAAUUCAUGUACUGAUACAGCCACGCCUCAAGUCCAACCUAGCUCGAGCAAGGAGCCUUUGGAGCUGCCUCAAGGUCCAAUCACCCGAUCACGAGCUAAACAAUUCAAGGAGGCUGUUUCGGCCUUAGUAGAUCAAGUUUGGGGCGAGACUUUGGUUGGACGCAUUGAUGAAGCUUGGACAAACUCGAUGAGCCUUCCUUGCACUUUGUUACGAGCUGAAUUAAGCUCCACUUCAGCUCAUUAAAUUCGAACCAGCUCAAAAUUAUCUCAAAAUAACUUAGUCAAUCAUAUAGUAGCUGAAAUAAUUAAUUGAGUUAGUUAAAUUAGUUAUUUACAAGCUUAAUUAAUUUUCGUUAUUAAAUUGGUCUUAAAUCUGGUCAAACUUAAUUAUGCAUGAUUAAUUGUGUUUUCUUAUAUGUUAUUAAGUCAAAUUAAAUUCCUACAGCUCAUAAAUAAGUCUUAAUACAUGUUUUAAUGUGUCUUGUCCAAACUAAAUUAAUUAGACUUAGUUUAAUUAAUUGAGUUUUGUUUUAAUUAUUUGGAUUAAUGUUGUCUAAAUUUCGUUUUUAAUAUGAUUUAGCUGAAUAAUGAUCAACUAAAUUCAUUUGUUCAUGUUGUGUAGGUUGGCCGAAUGUGGGUGGAAGCAUUUAAGCUAGGUGCAUGCAUCAUAGGUUCAAUGAAUGUGGCGUUACAUGCAUGAGGAAUGUUCAGCUGAUUUUAAAUGAUUCAAGAACCAGCAUAAUGACCGUUCACACAUGAAGUUCACACUCUUGGCUUUUCGGUUUUGGAAUGUUCACACACAAAGACUCUUUGAAACCGAGUGUUCACACUUCAUUUGGCCAUUCAAAUCCCUCUUAAUGGCUGGUCACUUUUCAGCAAAAGCUACAAAUUAAAUGAGCUUAUUUAUGCACAUUGACCGAAUCUAGCUCAUCCAUGCACCAUUCAAGUUGUCCAAGGUUCAAUGUGAAUUCUAGAAGCUUUCCAAGUUCAGCCGAACCUAGCCAAGCCAUUGAAGAAUUCAUUAGCUUAGUUUUUAAGAAAAUGUAUGUGACUAUUCGGCUAACUUAGUUGCUGAUUAUAAAUAGCUGAAAUUUCAUUUUGUAAAGGACUUUUGACAUUUUUAAGUAACGAAUUGCUGCCAAAUUUGUGAGGCAUUUUCUCUCAAAUUUCGUUUGGGACCCGUAAGACUUAUCUAGCUUCUAGUGGCGUCUUUCUGAGUCUUUCUUUCGAACUUAUCACUCCCUAAACCCGAGUGUGGCGUUCACCUUUGAUACCUUUGGUUCAUACUUUACUAAGUAUCGGGUCAAGGUCCUUAUCAACCAUUUCCAACUCAAUUUGGUCCUAUAAGUUUCGGGUCGACACUUUUCUUUAGUGUUGGUUCACUCUUGACCUUUUUGAACCAUUACCAUUUCGUACCAAUUCCCAAAUACCAAAACGUACCAAAACCCAAAUACCAUUUCUUAAUUAAUCCUAAACCGAACUCAACCAUUCUAGUCAUACCAUUUCGACUUAAACCAAAUCCAUAUCCAACUUUGCACGGACUUACUUUACUUCUUUGAACUCAAAUAUAUUCUAUCUUCUUCUUGUCUAAUAUACUUCUUCAUUUACGAUCGGGAACUAAACGACUCGGGUUCAACUACUGAACCGAGAUCGUAUCAUUUGGUAUCAGAGUUGGUAAAAACGAAAAGUACGAGCACUCGAAGUCAAUUUGAAAUAGGUACGUAAAAAACAAAAAAGGAGUUCGAAAAAAAAAAUUGAAAAAAAAAUUCUGAAAAAAAAAUUGCAUACGGUUUAGGUGCGGACGAAAAGAACGUGAAAGAUCCGUAAAAAAAAAGAGUCUGGAGACACUUCAAUAGAAAUUUUUCCAAAAUCUCAUUCUACACUCUUUUAUAUCCCCCGUAGUGAAAUUUCACGCAAUUAAAAAAAAAUUCGAUAUAAAAAAAAAGUGUUUCGAGUUUGUAAGUUUGACAUUCUCUUCUAUUCAUCUUCUAAGCCACACUUAGCCUAAAGCCUUUCUUGUUUCUUUUAGCCUACCCGUAACCUAACAUCAAUCCCUUGUAAAGCCAUUUGAAGCCGACCCACUGAACUAAGACUAAGUCACUACGAGUCACUUACGAAAUCACGAGAGGAAAGUGAGUGGUAAAAGGCACGAGAGUUACAUCAAGUUAAAAGCCAAAAUUGAGUGAAACACGAGUGGAGUGUUUAUUCUUUCUGUGAGAGAUUUUGUGAGGGUUUUGCUGUGAGGUUUUUAUUUACAUGUCUCAAAGUCCUGAACGAAAUAUGGCGGAAGGAGGUGGAAGGCAACCAAUCCGAAACAUUGCGCCUGGAGGAGGUGGAGUGCCGGAUUUGGCUCAACAAGCCUUGUUACGAGAAAUCCAACGCAUGAUCCGAGGUGAGUUAGAAUCUAUUAACGAACGGUUGGAUCGAGUUGAAUUGGGAAAUCAACAAGAGCGUACACCCCAAGGGCCGCAAAGAGGGCGAGACCAAUUGGAAAUCAAUCAAGACGACCUAUACGAUCCGAAUGAAGUCGAAAGUGAUCAAGGAUCAAACAUAAGUGAAGGAUGAAGAGGUCAAAGGAACCGAGGUAAUCGAAAUCAAAGACAUAUGGAUGACGACUUAAGGAACAUUAAACUAUCCAUUCCAUCCUUUCAAGGAAAGUCUGAUCCGGAAGCUUACUUGGAGUGGGAAAAGAAGAUUGAAUUGGUCUUCGAUUGUCACAACUAUUCCGAGAUCAAAAAGGUGAAGUUGGCGGCCAUAGAAUUCUCCGAUUACGCUAUGAUAUGGUGGGAUCAACUCACUACGAGCCGAAGAAGGAAUGGGGAACGACCAAUAUCCACUUGGGCCGAGAUGAAGGCCGUGAUUGAUACGACCAUGCCCCGGGCACACUUUUGGAUCAGCUCCCUAAGCAUUGUUUGCAAAUCCAUGCGAGCUGAAUUAGUUCAAUUUCAUUUCGUUAAGCUCCGUUUAGCUCGUUUCCAGCUCACUCGAGCUCAAGUCAACUCACUCAAGCUCAAUUCAGCUCAAUCUUAACCCAAUGAGCUUAUUUUUAGCUUUCUUUAGCUUGCAUUUAUUUUGCUGAAAUAAACCAUUUAAUUUGUCAUUAGUUAAAUUAGUUGUUUAUCUUAAGUUAGUUAAUUUGUUAAAAUCUGGACAAAUAAUUAAUUAAGUGUUUUACUUAUAUCUAAAUUAAAUACUUAAUUAAUUAUGAUGUUUUAAAUAUGUCUAAAAUUGUUAAUAUGUAUGGCCAAAUUUAAUGUGCAAAUUAUUGAGUUCAUAUGCUGCUAAUUUAAUGUGUUUGAAAUGCAUUUAACUUGCUGAUUUAAUUUGCUGCAGGUUCAUGAACGGAUUGGUGCAAUGUAUGGGAGUGUGCAUGCACAAUUGAGGUUCAAUGGAUGGCAUUUAAAGGAGCACAUGCAUUUGGGACGUUCAUGCAAGAGGGAGUUGCUGAAAGUUCAUGUAUUUGAAGAUUCAUGGAUCAUAUUUAUGGGGGAAAAUACAUGGGACGUUUCAUGCAUGAUUCAUGCAUUUUCAAGAUGACCAUUCAAGUAUUUUAGGCACAUUAAUGCCUCAUUCAGCCAAGGGAGAUGUAGGAUCAUUAAAGAGCUGCACAUUCAUGGAAUUAUGGAGAUUCUUCAAGGCUAAGGAUGCAUGAAUGCAUCAAGUGAAGCAUCAUGAUGGUUCGGCCAAUUCAUGUACCAUCUUCAAGCAUGAACUGGAUUUUAAUGCUAUUUGUGUGAACAUGUUAAAUACCUGUGUGAACAGAAUUUAAGUUAGUGUGAACAACAUAGAUGUCGAAUAUCAAUAGGCAUUUUAGGCUUAUAAAUAGCUUACUUGUUUAUUGUAAAAGGUUACAGAGUUUGAUCAAUUAAACUUAAUAGAACUUUUGUUCUUGUGAGGUUACCUCCUCUCUUCUUUCGUUCGAGUCUCGAAGCGACUUAUCUAGCUUGCUAGUGGUGUCAAUCCGAACUCCAUUGAACUUAUCACCGAAUCGGUGUGGGAUUCAACCAUCUUCCUAUACCUUUGGUUCUUACCUCCAUAUAGGUAACGGGUCAAGGUCCGCUUCUAUCCUUCAUCAAAAUUCACCUUAAGCAAUAUAAGACUCGGGGCAAUACUUUUUAGUAUUGAAUCAUUCUUAAAGUUUGAGUUCUUUAUCCAUUUCCAUUUAUUUAUCAUCUUUGUAACUUAAUUCUUUGUUAAACCGAACCUAUCUUUCAUCAAACCAAAACCCAUCAUUUGAACCCAUUUUGCCUACCUUCCGCUUAUAAAACAUUCAAACUCCAUCUAUCUACAAAUUUGAACGAGCUUCUCAUUGACGAUCGGGCAUCUUAAGUGAACCCGACUCAAUUAAUCAGGCCGGAUCACAUCAUUUGGUAUCAGAGCUUGCAAAAUGAUGAGCACCGACGUUCGUAGCAAUCUCGAAAGAUAGGUUUGUAAAAAAAAAGUUUCAAAAAAAAAUCAAAAAAAUCUCGAGUUGUAAUUUUAUUUUAUUUUCUCUUUUCUUUAUUGUAUUUACCUUACUAUUGUAUUGGAGUGUAAAAAAAAUCAAAAUUAAAAAAAAAAAGAAGUGAGCAAAAAAAGAAAAGAAAAAAACAAAAAAAAGUGAAAAGUCUUGUGAGUUUUAUUUUCAUCUCUUAUUACUCCGAUCAUCAAGUUUCCCUUCCUACCAUUAUUUACCCAUCCCAACGCCACACUUUAAACCAAUUUUCUUCUUUAUUCAGCCUACCCUACACCCGACAUUAUCCCUUGUAACCAAUUUGAAACCGACCCUCAAGCAGCAAAUUAAGUCUACCGAGACAAAUCACGAAAUUGUGAGAAGAGGUUGAGUGGAAAAAGGCACGAGUGAAAUUACAUCAAAGAAAAAGCCAAAAUUUGAAUGUAAACACGAGUGCGAGUGAAAAUCAUUAUUUCCUUUUCGAGCGAAUUUGUGAGGUUUGUGGUAAGGUAUUUAUUUUCUUUAUUAUUUUUUUCUAACAUCUUCUUGUCAUUACUUAAUCAUGUCUCGAGAAACAUUUCUCGAAUCAGAAUUCCAAUAUUUGAUGCAAGAGAUGCGUAGAAUGGUGAAAUCAAAAUUUGAUAAAUUGCAUGAUCGAUUGGAUCGAGUGGAGGAAAGAGCCCGAUGGAAGCCAAACUCACCGGGUGAAGAGACGGAGACAAGAUCAUCACGAAGGCACACAUCCAUUGAUUUUUUGGGAAGAGAUUCAUACCAUGAUUCCUAUUCAACGAGGAACUCAAGACGAAGCAAAGCAAGUUUUGAGUUUAAAGCUUUCCGAGGUGACGAACGAGAAAUCACAAGUAGUCCUUCGUAUGCACCGAGGUAUUCGUCCGCAAAGAAUCAAUCUCGAAGAGGUGAUCAUUUUUUGUAUGAAAGUUGUUCCAAUUAUACCCAACGAGAGUCAUUUCGUGCUGAUUCAUUUGUAACAUCUCCAUCCUAUAAUGAAAGAGUGAGGCAAAAAGAAAAAGAAAUAAGAAGAAAGGAAAGACAAGAAAUGUUGAUGAGAGAAAAUGAGCAUAUAUGGAAUGAAAUCGAGAGACGAAAAAAAAGAAAGGAAAGAAAAGGAACAAGAAAUUGAAAAAGAGAGUGAGAUUGAAGAAAGAAACGAGAGUGUAAAAGAAACGAGUGUCAUGGAAAAAGAAAUUGAGAUUGAAAAAGGAUGUGAAAAAGAGAAAGAAAUCGAAAAAGAAAUUGAGAUUGAACAAAAGUGUGAGGAAAAAGAGAAAAUUGAAAAAGAAAGAAAAGACAAUGAGUUAGAAAAACAAACGAGAGAAAAGGAGGCAAAAGAGCAAGAAAAAGUGAGGAAUCUGUUUACUAAACCACAUGAGAAUUUGUCUUGUUUUGUUUCCUCUUUUCAGGUCUUCGGAAGGCCAAGUGACGAAAAUUUUCAACUCCAAUACCUCUCGAAGGAGAGAAGGUUUAUUUUGGCUGAAAAAGGUAAUGUUCUCAACGAUCCUAGUUCGCCUAUGCCAAAAGGUAAGCAAGGUAUGAAUGUUGAAAAUUUUAAAGCACUUCUGCCUUACUCGAUUGUUGAUGGACACACUGUUGAUGAUUUGGUCUUUAGAAAGAAUCUAAACUUUGACGUGGCUACUUGUCAUUCUUUGAUUGAUGAUGACCCAUUUGUUUUGUCUGAUGAUAAAAAGAUUCUUGCUUUUGAAAAAUAUUAUUUUCUUGAUGAUAUUAGUUGUUUGUCUUUAACUUGCAAUGGAAUACAUGUUUUGGAUCCGCAAGAUGAAAGUCCAUAUAAAAUGUUCAUUCUCACUGAUCAUGUUGAAAAGGAAUGGAAAUGUAUUGAUGAAUACGCCAUUGGCAAGAUUUUUGAUGAAGAGCGAAUAAAUCAGCACCAACAAAAUCUAGAAUUGUGUGAUCAAAAGUUGACAUAUCAUCUGCUUGGUUGUGUUGAUCAUGUGGAUUAUCUAAUUUUUGGUGUGAAAUUUCCAUGGUUUUGUAAAUCUUUUCGAAUGAAAUUUAAAGGGUUUGCUUGUUUGAAUUUGAGUAUGUUAACACCCUCGUUGUUUAAUUUGUGUAAAUUGUUGGAGAUAAAAGGACUCUUUUUGCCAUUUGGAUCGAGUAGUCAAAAUCAUGUCUUUAAUCCUGGAGUUUGCUAUUAUGAAUCAUCCAUGAAAGAAAUCAAGCAUCGUAAAAUUUGUUUGAAUGAAUGUGUAAACAAUCUUGUUUGUAUGAUACUUUGUCUUUAAGUUUGAAAAUGAGCCAUGUGAAUCUUGUUGGUUUGUUAAGUCAAAAUCAAAAUUUUGUUUUCGGAGGAUGUUCUCAACUGUGGACUAAAAGAUCCGAACAUGUUUUGAAUGAUAAUGAUUUUGAGUUGCUUAGUGCUCUUUCUAUAAGUCGGUCAUGAAAUUGCCAAAUCAAAUUGAAAUGGCAAGAGAAAAUUUUGUCUUUGACCCCGGUGAACACCAUUCUAUAUCAUUGCCUAAGGUAAUCGAACCAUGGAAAGUUGACUUCCAAAACCAUAGCUAUCAAAUGCCUUGUGAUUUAUGUUUGUUUCCAUCGAAGAAAAAGGUAAGAACGAUUUCUAUUUUCGACCCCGGUAUUGGAUUAUUUGUUCAAACUGUGAAUCAAAUCUCAAAAAGUUCCUUUGUGUUUAAUCUUCAUCGUGUCACUAAUUCGUUUUAUUCUUUUAAAGGUGACAAUGUGAAGUGGUACCCUCCUAAAGAGGGAGGGCAUGCGAAUGAGCUUCUUUUGAUCCGAGUUAAUUGUGGCUUUCAGAAUCUUCAACGAUUUUUUGCGAGUAAAUGGCCCGAUUUGGGGACAAAUAGCUUUAAAGAGGGAGGGGAUGAUACGACCAUGCCCCGGGCACACUUUUGGAUCAGCUCCCUAAGCAUUGUUUGCAAAUCCAUGCGAGCUGAAUUAGUUCAAUUUCAUUUCGUUAAGCUCCGUUUAGCUCGUUUCCAGCUCACUCGAGCUCAAGUCAACUCACUCAAGCUCAAUUCAGCUCAAUCUUAACCCAAUGAGCUUAUUUUUAGCUUUCUUUAGCUUGCAUUUAUUUUGCUGAAAUAAACCAUUUAAUUUGUCAUUAGUUAAAUUAGUUGUUUAUCUUAAGUUAGUUAAUUUGUUAAAAUCUGGACAAAUAAUUAAUUAAGUGUUUUAAUUAUAUCUAAAUUAAAUACUUAAUUAAUUAUGAUGUUUUAAAUAUGUCUAAAAUUGUUAAUAUGUAUGGCCAAAUUUAAUGUGCAAAUUAUUGAGUUCAUAUGCUGCUAAUUUAAUGUGUUUGAAAUGCAUUUAACUUGCUGAUUUAAUUUGCUGCAGGUUCAUGAACGAAUUGGUGCAAUGUAUGGGAGUGUGCAUGCACAAUUGAGGUUCAAUGGAUGGCAUUUAAAGGAGCACAUGCAUUUGGGACGUUCAUGCAAGAGGGAGUUGCUGAAAGUUCAUGUAUUUGAAGAUUCAUGGAUCAUAUUUAUGGGGGAAAAUACAUGGGACGUUUCAUGCAUGAUUCAUGCAUUUUCAAGAUGACCAUUCAAGUAUUUUAGGCACAUUAAUGCCUCAUUCAGCCAAGGGAGAUGUAGGAUCAUUAAAGAGCUGCACAUUCAUGGAAUUAUGGAGAUUCUUCAAGGCUAAGGAUGCAUGAAUGCAUCAAGUGAAGCAUCAUGAUGGUUCGGCCAAUUCAUGUACCAUCUUCAAGCAUGAACUGGAUUUUAAUGCUAUUUGUGUGAACAUGUUAAAUACCUGUGUGAACAGAAUUUAAGUUAGUGUGAACAACAUAGAUGCCGAAUAUCAAUAGGCAUUUUAGGCUUAUAAAUAGCUUACUUGUUUAUUGUAAAAGGUUACAGAAUUUGAUCAAUUAAACUUAAUAGAACUUUUGUUCUUGUGAGGUUACCUCCUCUCUUCUUUCGUUCGAGUCUCGAAGCGACUUAUUUAGCUUGCUAGUGGUGUCAAUUCGAACUCCAUUGAACUUAUCACCGAAUCGGUGUGGCGUUCAACCAUCUUCCUAUACCUUUGGUUCUUACCUCCAUAUAGGUAACGGGUCAAGGUCCGCUUCUAUCCUUCAUUAAAAUUCACCUUAAGCAAUAUAAGACUCGGGGCAAUACUUUUUAGUAUUGAAUCAUUCUUAAAGUUUGCGUUCUUUAUCCAUUUCCAUUUAUUUAUCAUCUUUGUAACUUAAUUCUUUGUUAAACCGAACCUAUCUUUCAUCAAACCAAAACCCAUCAUUUGAACCCAUUUUGCCUACCUUCCGCUUAUAAAACAUUCAAACUCCAUCUAUCUACAAAUUUGAACGAGCUUCUCGUCGACGAUCGGGCAUCUUAAGUGAACCUGACUCAAUUAAUCAGGCCGGAUCACAUCAGUGAUGCGACGUCGUUUCAUUCCCUCCUACUAUCAUCGGGAACUCUAUCAAAAGCUUCAAAAUCUCACUCAAGGUUCAAAGAGUGUUGAGGAUUAUUUCAAAGAUAUGGAGAUCGCAAUGAUCCAAGCCGAUGUCCAAGAAGAUCGUGAAGCAACAAUGGCGCGAUUCCUUGCUGGUCUCAACUGAGAUAUCGCUAACAAUGUGGAACUCCAACAUUAUGUUGAGAUAGUAGACAUGGUACACAUGGCCAUUAAGGUGGAGAAGCAACUCAAGCGAAAGAGUACCACUCAAAGUUUUCCUACCCCAAGCACAACUAGAUGGGGGCAAAGUUUGAGUAAAACUAAUCCACCAAUCCGUGCCAAAGAGCCAAUGGUGCCUACCAAAGCAAACAAACCUAUGGGCGAUACGAGCAAAGGUAAGGCAACCGAUUCAUUUGCUAAUCGUUCAAGAGAUAUUAAGUGUUUUAAGUGCCUUGGAAGGGGCCAUAUUGCGAGUCAAUGUCCCAACCGCAAUGUCAUGGUGGUUCGAGCAAAUGGAAAAAUCGAAUCGGAGGAGGAAGAACUUGAAGACGAGCCCAAAAUCAUUUCUGAAAACGAUGAAGAAGUUGAACACGCUCUUGAUGGAGAACUCCUCGUUGUUAAAAGAAGUCUAAGCAUCCAAAGCAUCGACGAUGAACAACAACGAGAGAACAUCUUCCAUACUUGUUGUCAAGUACAAGGAAAGCUAUGUAGUGUCAUCAUCGAUGGAGGAAGUUGUACGAACGUAGCGAGCACUCUUAUGGUGGAAAAAUUAAAUCUACCAACCACCAAGCAUCCAACUCCGUACAAACUUCAAUGGCUCAACGAUGGAGGAGAGUUAAAGGUGACAAAGCAAGUUCUAGUCUCCUUUUCCAUUGGAAAAUAUUCCGAUGAAGUGCUUUGCGAUGUUGUUCCGAUGCACGCGGGUCACUUGUUAUUGGGCCGUCCAUGGCAAUUUGAUCGUCGAGUUAUGCACGAUGGUUACUCAAAUCGAUAUUCUUUCAAGCAUCUGGGGAGAAAUGUAACCUUAGCACCAUUGACGCCAAAGUAAGUUUAUGAGGAUCAACUUAAGUUGAAAAAUUCUGUAGAUCAAAUGAGAGAAAAAGAAAAGAGCGAAAAUACAAAAGAAAAGAAAAAUUAAAAAAAAAGAAAAUUAAAAAAAAGAGAAUGAAAAGAGAGCGAUAAAAGAAGAAAAAGAAAAAGUGAGUGAAAAAUUGAAUGUCUUUGCAAAAGCAAAUGAUGUUCGAAAAGCGUUUUUGGCAAAACAAUCGAUCCUUGUACUUAUGUAUAAGGAAAAUUUGUUUAAUACUAACGACUUAUCCGGAGAUCCCCCUUCUUCUGUUUUGUCUCUCUUGCAGGAUUUCAAAGACGUUUUUCCGGAUGAAGUGCCAAGUGGUUUGCCACCACUUCGUGGGAUUGAGCACCAAAUCGAUUUUAUGCCCGGAGCUGUUAUUCCUAAUCGGCCAGCAUACCGAACCAAUCCCGAAGAAACCAAAGAGCUUCAACGUCAAAUCAACGAACUCAUGGAAAAGGGCUAUAUUCGAGAGAGCCUUAGCCCAUGCGCUGUACCGGUUUUGUUGGUACCAAAGAAGGACGGAACAUGGCGCAUGUGCGUCGAUUGCCGUGCCGUAAAUAAAAUCACCAUCAAGUAUAGGCAUCCCAUACCGCAUUUAGAUGAAAUGCUCGAUGAGUUAAGUGGUGCCGAGUUAUUCUCAAAAAUUGAUCUCAAAAGCGGAUACCAUCAGAUUUGAAUGCGCGAAGGUGACGAGUGGAAAAUCGCUUUUAAAACGAAACAUGGUUUGUAUGAAUGGUUGGUAAUGCCAUUCGACUUAACCAACGCCCCUAGCACUUUUAUGAGACUUAUGAACUAUGUUUUAUGAAAUUUCAUUGGUAAGUUUUGCGUUGUGUAUUUUGAUGAUAUCCUCAUUUAUAGCAAAUCGAUGGAUGAGCAUGUAAUUCAUUUGCGAGCUGUUUUGGAAGUUCUUAGAAAAGAGACUUUGUAUGCUAAUCUUAAAAAGUGUACAUUUUGUUCUGACAAAGUUAUCUUUUUAGGUUUCGUGGUUAGCUCGGAGGGCCUCGAAGUAGAUAGCGAAAAGAUUAAGGCGAUUAAAGAAUGGACGAGACCGAUGAGCAUAAGCCAAGUGCGAAGCUUCCAUGGCCUAGCAAGUUUCUAUAGGCGAUUUGUACCCAACUUUAGCACGUUGGCUGCACCGUUGACAAGCACUAUCAAGAAGAAUUCGACUUUUCAUUGGGGCGAAGAGCAAGAAAAUUCUUUUAAUAUUAUUAAAGAUUGUCUUACUAAAGCUCCGUUGUUAGCACUGCCUGAUUUUUCUAAAACAUUUGAAAUUGAGUGUGAUGCCUCAGGUGUUGGAAUAGGUGCCGUGUUAACUCAAGACGGGAGGCCGAUCGCUUACUUUAGUGAAAAGUUGAAUGGUGCCAUGCUAAACUACCCCGUUUAUGACAAGGAGAUGUGUGCACUUAUCCGCGCUCUCGAGACUUGGCAACACUAUUUGUGGCCGAAGGAGUUCGUGAUCCAUUCGGAUCAUGAAGCGUUAAAGCACAUUAAAGGACAACACAAAUUAAACAAACGCCAUGCUAAGUGGGUAGAGUAUUUGGAGUCAUUUCCCUAUGUCAUUAAGUAUAAAAAGGGUAAGGAAAAUAUCGUAGCUGAUGCUCUUUCAAGAAGGUAUACCCUUUUGUCGUAUUUGGACUCUAAACUGCUUGGUUUUGCAUUGUUAAAAGAUUUAUAUCCUGCUGCUGAUGAUUUUGGAGAAAUAUUUGUUGCUUGUGAAAGUGUUGCUAUUGAUAAGUUUUAUAGGAGCGACGGAUUCCUUUUUAGAGAAGGAAAAUUAUGUGUGCCGCGGAGUUCCAUACGAGACCUAUUAGUACAUGAGACGUAUGGCGGAGGCCUUAUGGGCCAUUUUAGCAUUGGAAAAACCUUAGCAACCCUCCAAGAGCAUUUUUAUUGGCCGAAAAUGAAAAGGGACGUUGAACGAGUGUUUGCGCGAUGUGUGACGUGCAAGAAGGCCAAAUCCAAGAUUAAGCCGCACGGGUUGUAUACGCCGCUCCCUAUACCCGACGCACCUUGGGAGGACAUUUCCAUGGAUUUUGUCCUUGGAUUGCCUAGGACUAAAACGGGAAAGGACUCUAUUUUUGUUGUUGUUGAUCGCUUUUCCAAAAUGUCUCAUUUUAUUUCUUGUUCAAAAACUGAUGAUGCCAUUCACAUUGCUAAUCUUUUCUUUAAGGAAAUUGUUCGUUUGCAUGGCAUCCCGAGGACAAUUGUUUCUGAUCGAGAUGCGAAGUUUUUGAGCCAUUUUUGGAGAUCGCUUUGGGGAAAGCUUGGAACUAAGUUGUUGUUUUCAACCACUUGCCACCCCCAAACAGAUGGACAAACGGAAGUGGUCAACCGAGUGCUAUCAACUUUGUUACGAGCCAUCAUACGAAAAAAUCUUAAGUCAUGGGAGGAGUGUUUGCCACAUGUAGAAUUUGCGUAUAAUUGAUCCAUUCACUCGGCAACCAAACACUCUCCUUUUGAAAUUGUUUAUGGAUUUAAUCUGUUAACUCCUUUAGAUUUAGUAUCUUUACCUAAAGAUCAACUUAUUCAUGCAGAUGCUAAAAAGAAGGCCGAGUAUGUAAAGGAGUUACAUCGGAAAGUUCGAGCCAACAUUGAAGCAAGAACCGAAAGUUAUGCUAGGAAAGCGAACAAGGGUCGUAAAAGAAUUAUCUUCGAACCUGGUGAUUGGGUUUGGGUUCACAUGAGAAAGGAACGUUUUCCCGCCCAACGAAGGUCAAAGCUACUACCGCGUGGUGAUGGCCCUUUUCAAGUCUUGGAACGAAUCAACGAGAAUUCUUAUCGACUUGAUCUACCAGGUGAGUACAACAUAAGUGCAAGUUUUAAUGUCUCUGACUUAUCCCCUUUUGAUGCAGAUUCCGAUUUGAGGGCAAAUCGCUUUGAAGAGGGGGAGGAUGAUACAGCCACGCCUCAAGUCCAACCUAGCUCGAGCAAGGAGCCUUUGGAGCUGCCUCAAGGUCCAAUCACCCGAUCACGAGCUAAACAAUUCAAGGAGGCUGUUUCGGCCUUAGUAGAUCAAGUUUGGGGCGAGACUUUGGUUGGACGCAUUGAUGAAGCUUGGACAAACUCGAUGAGCCUUCCUUGCACUUUGUUACGAGCUGAAUUAAGCUCCACUUCAGCUCAUUAAAUUCGAACCAGCUCAAAAUUAUCUCAAAAUAACUUAGUCAAUCAUAUAGUAGCUGAAAUAAUUAAUUGAGUUAGUUAAAUUAGUUAUUUACAAGCUUAAUUAAUUUUCGUUAUUAAAUUGGUCUUAAAUCUGGUCAAACUUAAUUAUGCAUGAUUAAUUGUGUUUUCUUAUAUGUUAUUAAGUCAAAUUAAAUUCCUACAGCUCAUAAAUAAGUCUUAAUACAUGUUUUAAUGUGUCUUGUCCAAACUAAAUUAAUUAGACUUAGUUUAAUUAAUUGAGUUUUGUUUUAAUUAUUUGGAUUAAUGUUGUCUACAUUUCGUUUUUAAUAUGAUUCAGCUGAAUAAUGAUCAACUAAAUUCAUUUGUUCAUGUUGUGUAGGUUGGCCGAAUGUGGGUGGAAGCAUUUAAGCUAGGUGCAUGCAUCAUAGGUUCAAUGAAUGUGGCGUUACAUGCAUGAGGAAUGUUCAGCUGAUUUUAAAUGAUUCAAGAACCAGCAUAAUGACCGUUCACACAUGAAGUUCACACUCUUGGCUUUUCGGUUUUGGAAUGUUCACACACAAAGACUCUUUGAAACCGAGUGUUCACACUUCAUUUGGCCAUUCAAAUCCCUCUUAAUGGCUGGUCACUUUUCAGCAAAAGCUACAAAUUAAAUGAGCUUAUUUAUGCACAUUGACCGAAUCUAGCUCAUCCAUGCACCAUUCAAGUUGUCCAAGGUUCAAUGUGAAUUCUAGAAGCUUUCCAAGUUCAAUCGAACCUAGCCAAGCCAUUGAAGAAUUCAUUAGCUUAGUUUUUAAGAAAAUGUAUGUGACUAUUCGGCUAACUUAGUUGCUGAUUAUAAAUAGCUGAAAUUUCAUUUUGCAAAGGACUUUUGACAUUUUUAAGUAACGAAUUGCUGCCAAAUUUGUGAGGCAUUUUCUCUCAAAUUUCGUUCGGGACCCGUAAGACUUAUCUAGCUUCUAGUGGCGUCUUUCCGAGUCUUUCUUUCGAACUUAUCACUCCCUAAACCCGAGUGUGGCGUUCACCUUUGAUACCUUUGGUUCAUACUUUACUAAGUAUCGGGUCAAGGUCCUUAUCAACCAUUUCCAACUCAAUUUGGUCCUAUAAGUUUCGGGUCGACACUUUUCUUUAGUGUUGGUUCACUCUUGACCUUUUUGAACCAUUACCAUUUCGUACCAAAUCCCUUACCAUUUCGUACCAAUUCCCAAAUACCAAAACGUACCAAAACCCAAAUACCAUUUCUUAAUUAAUCCUAAACCGAACUCGACCAUUCUAGUCAUACCAUUUCGACUUAAACCAAAUCCAUAUCCAACUUUGCACGGACUUACUUUACUUCUUUGAACUCAAAUAUAUUCUAUCUUCUUCUUGUCUAAUAUACUUCUUCGUUUACGAUCGGGAACUAAACGACUCGGGUUCAACUACUAAACCGAGAUCGUAUCAUGUACCAUCUUCAAGCAUGAACUGGAUUUUAAUGCUAUUUGUGUGAACAUGUUAAAUACCUGUGUGAACAAAAUUUAAGUUAGUGUGAACAACAUAGAUGCCGAAUAUCAAUAGGCAUUUUAGGCUUAUAAAUAGCUUACUUGUUUAUUGUAAAAGGUUAUAGAAUUUGAUUAUUGAAAACUUGAUUGAGAGGUUUCCUCCUAUCCUAUUUCGUACGAGUCUCGAUCUGACUUAUCUAACGUGCUAGUGGCGUCUAUCAUUCUCUUUUGAACUUAUCACCUUGCAUUGGUGUGGCGUUCUGAUACGCCCUCACCUCGAGAUCGAAUUGAGUCGUAAAGAUCGCCCGAUCGUGAAUUAGGAGUAAAUUGAGGCUUUACAAAAUAGGCUAGAAGAAAGAGGUUUAUUUAGGCUCAAAAAGGUUUUGUUGGUUUAGGAAAUGAAUUAGAAAACAAUGGAAGCAAUUUGGCUGAGGAUUCGAAAGCUGAACUAACUCAAUAGGAAUGUGUUAACCCGUAACUUAGGAGAAUGCUUAGGUUGGUAAGGAUGGAUGGAAGGUUUGUUAAAUGGAAAGAAACUUCGACCCACUAUCAAUGGUGAUAGGAACCUUAGUAUGAAUCGAACGCCACACUUUUGGGAUUAAAGUGAUAAGUUUGGGAAGAAACAAAAACAAGUUUGACGCCACAAAGAUGUUUGAUAAGUCUCACAAGUUUUUGGAGAAUAACGAGAGUUGAAAACAACCUCACAAUUUAGCAAAGCUAUCAAAUUGUUCAUUAACCUCAAAAUGUGAAUUACAUGACCUAUUUAUAGCUUGACUAAGGCAGCCGAAUAGCCUAUCUAAUCAGAUCCUUAUGCCUUAAGUUUCUUGACGAAACUUCCUAGAAAUUUCCUAGUUACAUUCAUGUGAUGAAAUUCUGAAAAUUAACCUUCUAGAAAAAGAUGAUUCGGCUGGCCCCUUUAAUGGAGAAAAUUCACAUUCGGUUAAUGUUUUAAAAGAGCUUAAUUGCUGCUAUGGAGAAGAGAAAUGGACAGCUUCAAAAAUUAUGCUUCUUUGGCCGAAUAUGAAUAGCCUCCACAUGAAUUGGCUGCUGGAAUUUAUGAGGAACUCUUUGGCCAUUUCUCUCCACGAAAUUGGCCCUUGGAGAAGCUUAAAAACAGCAGCUAGAAGUCCAUUGAGCUGCACGAAAAGUCAGCUGGAAACACAAGGCAGCUGCACUUUAAAUGCCAUCCAUGCAUGUGCCCAAAUACAUGCCCCUUCUUUAUGAGCUUUCUUUGUCAUUAAGCUAGCUGAAAAAAACAUCAAAUAAAUGUGAUUAGGACAAGUUUAAUACUCAUGAAAUCAGCAGCUGGACAUAUUAAAAUUCUGCACAUUAAUUCGGCUAAGACAAAUUAAUUAGCAGCACUAAUAAAUUUGUCUUAGUCAAGACACAUUAAAACUUGUAAUUAAACUAAACACAUUUAAUUUAUAACUUAAUAUGGACAUAUUAAAGGCAUGUACUAAUAUAAAACAUAUUUAAUAAGCUGAAUUAAAAAUGUCCAGAUUAAGACACAUUUAUUUAAUUAAAUGAUUUGAGCUGAUUCUAAACUAACACAACUAAUUAAAUUUAUUAAAAAUAAAUUUAAUCAGCUCCUUGAACUAAUUAAGUGCCGAAUUGAGCUAAAUUGAGCUGACACAAGCUAAAAUCAGCUUGUAGGAAAUUGCGAAUCAAGCUAGUUGAGCUGGGCGUUUUAUGGGCAAUCAAUCCAUCACUCCACAAUCGAGCAAUAUAGCUUGCUACAGCAUCUUGGAACUUCUUGGCACAUGCUCGAGUAAUUGGCCCCAAAGGCAACUCCAUGGAUUCGGCACCUAUCUUCAUGGGCGAGCUCAUAUCAUCCUCCCUCUCUUCGAAGCGAUUCGUCCUCGAAUCGUCACCUACAUCAAAAGGAGAAAGGUCAGCAACGUUAAAACUUGCACUCACUGCAUACUCACCCGGUAGGUCAAUCUUGUAGACGUUGUCAUUGAUCCGUUCCAAUACUUGAAAAGGGCCAUCACCCCUUGAUUGAAGCUUGGAUUUCCUUUUAUCGAGAAACCGUUCCUUGCGCAUGUGGAUCCAAACCCAGUCACCGGGUUCGAACACGACUCGUUUGCGCCCUUUAUUUGCCCCUCGAACAUAUUGUUCGGUUCUCCUCUCAAUAUUAUCCUUAACAUUUUUGUGCAAUUGCUUAACAAAUUCGGCCUUCUUUUUGCGAUCUACAUGUACUAAUUCAUUAGAAGGCAUAGGAAUCAAAUCAAGAGGAGUAAUGGGAUUAAAACCGUAUACUACCUCAAAAGGAGAAAAUUUCGUAGCAGAAUGAACGGUUCGAUUGUAUGCGAACUCCACAUGAGGUAAGCAAUCUUCCCACAUCUUCAAAUUCUUUUUCAAAAUAGCUCGAAGCAAAGUUGAUAGCACACGGUUGACUACUUCAGUUUGGCCAUCCGUUUGAGGGUGGCAUGUCGUCGAAAAUAGAAGUUUGGUGCCCAAUUUCCCCCACAACGUCCUCCAAAAAUGACUUAGAAACUUUGUGUCGCGAUCAGAGACAAUGGUUCGAGGGAUCCCAUGCAACCUAACAACUUCCUUGAAAAACAGACUAGCAAUGUUAGUAGCAUCAUCAGUUUUAUUACAAGGUAUAAAAUGGGCCAUUUUUGAAAAACGGUCUACAACAACAAAUAUUGAAUCUCUCCCUCUUUUGGUUCUUGGAAGGCCCAGAACGAAGUCCAUUGAAAUGUCUACCCACGGAGCAUCAGGAAUAGGCAACGGGGUGUAUAAUCCAUGCGGUUUGAUUCGUGACUUUGCCUUCUUACAAGUGAUGCAACAAUCACAUUUCCUUAUUACGUCACGUUUCAUUUUGGGCCAAUAGAAAUGUUCAUGCAAUAUUGCUAAAGUUUUAGCAAUUCCGAAGUGGCCCAUAAGUCCUCCACUAUGAGCUUCUUCUACAAGGACGUUUCUCACAGAACUUUGAGGCACACAAAGCUUGCCUUCACGAAAUAAAUAGCCCUCAUGCUGAAAAUACUUUUCACAAGCACCAUGCGAACAAGACUCAUAAAUUUCACCAAAGUCAGCAUCAGAUUUAUAAAGAUCUUUGAUAAAUUCGAAACCAAGCAAUUUAGAAUCCAUUAAAUUGACAAGUGCAUACAUUCGUGAUAGGGCGUCGGCUACAACAUUUUCCUUACCCUUUUUAUACUUGAUCACGUACGGAAACGACUCCAAAUACUCCACCCACUUGGCAUGACGUUUAUUGAGCUUGGUUUGUCCCUUCAGAUGCUUUAGAGCCUCGUGGUCCGAAUGAAUUACGAAUUCCUUCGGCCAUAAAUAGUGUUGCCAUGUUUCGAGAGCUCGGACCAAUGCAUAUAGUUCCUUAUCAUACGUUGGAUAAUUCAACGUAGCUCCGUUAAGCUUUUCACUAAAGUAUGCAAUAGGCCAUCCAUCUUGCAUCAAAGCAGCGCCAAUGCCGAUACCUGAAGCAUCACACUCUAUCUCGAAUGUUUUGUUAAAAUCAGGUAAAGACAACAAUGGUGCAUUAGUUAGACAUUCCUUAAGCUUAUUAAAAGAAUUUUCUUGUUCAUCAGUCCACACAAAAGGAGAAUUUUUCUUAAUUAUACCUGUCAAGGGGGCAGCUACAGAACUAAAAUUAGGCACAAACCUUCGAUAGAAGCUUGCCAACCUGUGAAAACUCCUCACUUGGCUAAUGUUCGUUGGACGCGGCCAUUCGUUGAUCGCCUUGACCUUUUCUUGGUCAACUUCUAAUCCACGAGCACUUACCACAAAGCCUAGAAAAACAACUUCAUUAGUGCAAAAAGAACAUUUCUUUAAAUUGGCAUAAAGUAUCUCUUUUCGUAAGACUUCAAGCACGGCACGUAGAUGUUGAAUAUGAUCUUCCAAGCUCUUGCUAUAGACUAAAAUAUCAUCAAAAUACACAACACAGAAUUUUCCAAUGAACGAACGUAAAACAUAAUUCAUGAGACGCAUGAAAGUACUCGGAGCGUUGGUAAGUCCGAAUGGCAUUACCAACCAUUCAUACAAACCAUAUUUAGUUUUGAACACAGUUUUCCAUUCAUCUCCCUCCCGCAUUCUAAUUUGAUGAUACCCACUUUUUAAAUCGAUCUUCGAAAACAAUUGGGCUCCACUAAGUUCAUCAAGCAUGUCGUCGAGGCGGGGAAUAGGAUGGCGAUAUUUUAUUGUGAUUUUGUUGAUAGCGCGGCAGUCAACGCACAUUCGCCAGGAUCCAUCCUUUUUAGGAACCAACAAUACCGGAACCGCGCACGGACUUAAGCUUUCACGGAUGUAACCCUUCUCCAUUAAUUCGGCUACUUGCUUUUCUAAUUCCUUCGUUUCCUCAGGAUUACUUCUAUAUGCUGGCCUAUUUGGAAUUGCAGCACCGGGCACAAAAUCGAUUUGGUGCUCGAUUCCUCGAAUGGGAGGUAGGCCAUUUGGUACUUCUUCAGGAAAAACAUCUCUGAAUUCCUACAACAAAGAAACGAUAGGAGUAGGCAAAGUAUUGUCAAGUUCGUUAGUUUCCAAUAAACACUCUUUAUACAUAAGUACAAAGAUAGGUUGCCUUGCCAACAUCAAUUUUCGAAUCUCUCUUUUUCUAGCAAAAACACUUAUUUUUUUAUUUUCACACUCUUGCUCUUUUUCUUUUGUCACUCUUGUUUUUAUCUCACUCUCCUCAUUCUUUUCUUUCUUUUUCUUUUCACUCUUUUUGUUUUUCUCUUUUUCUUUUUCUCGAUCAAUAGAUUGCUUCAUCUUGAGUUGGUCUUCAUGCACUUGCUUCGGUGUGAGAGGAGCUAAUGUAACAUUCCUUCCAAGGUGCUUAAAUGAAUAUCGGUUUGUAUAGCCGUCGUGGACUACUCGCCGGUCAAAUUGCCAAGGAUGCCCCAAUAGCAAAUGUCCCGCGUGCAUUGGUACGACAUCACAAACCACCUCAUCUUGGUACUUGCCUAUGGAAAACGCCACCCUUGCUUGCUUCGUCACCUUGAGUUCGCCUCCGUCAUUUAGCCAUUGUAACUUGUAAGGAGUUGGAUGCUUUGUGGUGGCUAAACCAAGUUUUUCAACCAGCAAAGAACUUGCGACAUUGGUGCAACUACCUCCGUCAAUAAUUAAACUACACACCUUACCUUGAACAUGGCAACGAGUGUGAAAGAUGUUGUCUCGUUGUUGUUCUUCCUCGGCUACUUGGAUAUUUAAGCUCAUUUUGACAACAAGUAAUUCUCCUUCAACGGGCAGCUCGAGCUCUUCACCUUCCUCCAUGGGAAUUUCAGGCUCCUCCUCUUGUUCAUCUUUGGACUUAAUCUCGCCAUUUGAACGAACCACCAUCACUCGUCGAUUAGGACAUUGACUCGCAAUGUGGCCUCUUCCUUGACACUUGAAACACUUGAUAUCGCGAGAACGAUUCGAGACAGCCUCGUUUUUAUUUUUGCUAGCAUCGGCACUUACUUGAUUGGGUUUCGCAGCAACGAAAGGCUCCUUAGGCCGAUUGGGAGCUUUGCUAGUCCCUUGAGUCCACUUGUUGGUAGAAGUCGUUGGAUAUGUCCGCAUGGGUCCUUUCCGUUUCAAUUGUUUUUCAACUUUUAUUGCCAUAUGCACCAUGUCCAUAACUUCUACAUAGUGUUGAAGCUCGAUGAUAUUGGCAAUAUCCCGAUUUAGGCCGGCUAAAAAUCUCGCCAUUGUUGCUUCACGAUCCUCCUCCACGUCGGCUCUUAUCAUAGCGAUUUCCAUGUCUUUAUAGUAGUCCUCGACAGUUCGGUUGCCUUGUGUGAGAUUUUGCAAUCGUUGGUACAACUCCCGAUGGUAAUAGGAGGGAACAAAAUGCUUGCGCAUAACGGCCUUCAUUUCGGCCCACGUAGAGAUAGGCCUCUCCCCAUUCCUCCUUCGGCUACUCACCAAUUGAUCCCACCACAAGAUCGCAUAAUCCGAGAAUUCAAUGGCAGCGAGCUUUACCUUUUUAUUUUCCGAAUAGUUAUAGCACUCAAAGACGAGUUCCAUUUUCUUUUCCCACUCCAAGUAAGAUUCAGGAUCAUUCUUCCCUUGAAACGGCGGAAUAGACAUCUUAAUAUUUUUGAGAUUGUCAUCCGAACGGUCUCGAUUUCUUGGGACUCGAUUUCGUUGGAACUGUUGAGGGUUUCCUGGUUCAGAUAAGUGAUCACCUUCAGAUUCUUCUUCAUCAAGGUUUUCAAUUGGUUGCUCUCGUCCUCGCCUUGCAUCUUCCAGAGUCACUUCGCGUUGCCUUCGGGUUUCGACUCAAUAUAGGCGGUCUUCGAUUGGUUCAAGCUUGCGAUCAAACAUUCGCUCCAUUUCUUGCAUAAUGGCUUGCAAAGUGAGAUCCGGCACUCCCCUUCCAACGUUUCUUAUUGGACGAAAUCCACCUCCCUCGUUUGGAUUCCUUUCCGGGCUCCGUGACAUUUUUUUUAAAAAAAAAGUUCUUUAAAGAAUCACAACAAGAACUCACCAAUCACUCACAAGAAUAAACACUCACUUUGGCUUUUCUACUCUUUAAUAGUCUCACUAAUCUCUCUUGCCUUUUACCACUCAAUUUUCACUUCCCAAAAUUCUCCGCAAACUAAGUUUGACAAAUCAAAAUCGUUUGGGGUCGGCUUACAAAAUAGAUGAGGCUUGGUAGGGUAAUAUUUUAGGAUCGGGUAGGCUAACAAUCAAAGAAAAUAGAAGGAAAUUAGUGUGGCUGUAUAGAUGUGGUCCUUCGGGCAGCAAGCAAUGCUUUUACAAGCUCAAAAUGAAUUUUAAUCACUUCUCUUUUUUUUCUUUUUCUUUUUUUUUUAAUUCCGAAAUUUUUUUAAUACUGAAUACACAAAGAAAAAGAAAAAAAAAUAAAUUGAAUACAAACUUUUCUUUUUCGAAUUUUUUUUUACAAUCUCGUAAUACCGAAGACGACGAUUCUUACUCCAAUUCAACCUGGCUCUGAUACCAACUUGAUACGCCCUCACCUCGAGAUCGAAUUGAGUCGUAAAGAUCGCCCGAUCGUGAAUUAGGAGUAAAUUGAGGCUUUACAAAAUAGGCUAGAAGAAAGAAGUUUAUUUAGGCUCAAAAAGGUUUUGUUGGUUUAGGAAAUGAAUUAGAAAACAAUGGAAGCAAUUUGGCUGAGGAUUCAAAAGCCGAACUAACACAAGAGGAAUGUGUUAACCCGUAACUUAGGAGAAUGCUUAGGUUGGUAAGGAUGGAUGGCAGGUUUGUUAAAUGGAAAGAAACUUCGACCCACUAUCAAUGGUGAUAGGAACCUUAGUAUGAAUCGAACGCCACACUUUUGGGAUUAAAGUGAUAAGUUCGGGAAGAAACAAAAACAAGUUUGACGCCACAAAGAUGUUUGAUAAGUCUCACAAGUUUUUGGAGAAUAACGAGAGUUGAAAACAACCUCACAAUUUAGCAAAGCUAUCAAAUUGUUCAUUAACCUCAAAAUGUGAAUUACAUGACCUAUUUAUAGCUUGACUAAGGCAGCCGAAUAGCCUAUCUAAUCAGAUCCUUAUGCCUUAAGUUUCUUGAGGAAACUUCCUAGAAAUUUCCUAGUUACAUUCAUGUGAUGAAAUUCUGAAAAUUAACCUUCUAGAAAAAGAUGAUUCGGCUGGCCCCUUUAAUGGAGAAAAUUCACAUUCGGUUAAUGUUUUAAAAGAGCUUAAUUGCUGCUAUGGAGAAGAGAAAUGGACAGCGUCAAAAAUUAUGCUUCUUUGGCCGAAUAUGAAUAGCCUCCACAUGAAUUGGCUGCUGGAAUUUAUGAGGCACUCUUUGGCCAUUGCUCUCCACGAAAUUGGCCCUUGGAGAAGCUCAAAAACAGCAGCUAGAAGUCCAUUGAGCUGCACGAAAAGUCAGCUGGAAACACAAGGCAGCUGCACUUUAAAUGCCGUCCAUGCAUGUGCCCAAAUACAUGCCCCUUCUUUAUGAGCUUUCUUUGUCAUUAAGCUAGCUGAAAAAAACAUCAAAUAAAUGUGAUUAGGACAAGUUUAAUACUCAUGAAAUCAGCAGCUGGACAUAUUAAAAUUCUGCACAUUAAUUCGGCUAAGACAAAUUAAUUAGCAGCCACUAAUAAAUUUGUCUUAGUCAAGACACAUUAAAACUUGUAAUUAAACUAAACACAUUUAAUUUAUGACUUAAUAUGGACAUAUUAAAGGCAUGUACUAAUAUAAAACAUAUUUAAUAAGCUGAAUUAAAAAUGUCCAGAUUAAGACACAUUUAUUUAAUUAAAUGAUUUGAGCUGAUUCUAAUAAACUAACACAACUAAUUAAAUUUAUUAAAAAUAAAUUUAAUCAGCUCCUUGAACUAAUUAAGUGCCGAAUUGAGCUAAAUUGAGCUGACACAAGCUAAAAUCAGCUUGUAGGAAAUUGCGAAUCAAGCUAGUUGAGCUGGGCGUUUUAUGGGCAAUCAAUCCAUCACUCCACAAUCGAGCAAUAUAGCUUGCUACAGCAUCUUGGAACUUCUUGGCACGUGCUCGAGUAAUUGGCCCCAAAGGCAACUCCAUGGAUUCGGCACCUAUCUUCAUGGGCGAGCUCAUAUCACGUUCAACCCUUCUACAAUUCCGCAAAUCCACCUUAACCAAAUAGAAAUCGGGGUGACACUCUUUAGUGUUGAAUCGUUUCUGGUGUUUAAGUUCACUUAUCCAUCCCCACCGAAUAUCUUAUAUUUUAUCUUUAUUAUUUUAUCCUUAAACCGAGCCAAACAAAUUAGCUAUCUUUCUCCAUCCCCUUAUUGUCACACCUAUCCAUAUCCUACUUACCCCUUUGUGAACUUAUAUCCAUCACUUUACUACAUAUUUUUAGCCGAUUACAAACAAACCAUCCUUUUGGUAUGAAACUCCUCAUCGACGAUCGGGCAUCUAUGUGAAACGACUCGAUUAACCUGGGCUGGAUCACAUCAUUUGGUAUCAGAGAUACUAAAACGAGGAGUGCCGACAUUCGUAUCAAGCUCGGAGUAGGUUCGUAACGUAAAAAAAAGUCAAAAAAAAUCAAAAAAAAUUUGAGUUGGAAUUUAAUUUUUUUUCUCUUCCUUGUAUUUUGUUUACUAUUGUAUUGUAUUUUUAAAAAAAAAAGAGAAUAAAUUUAGAAAAAAAAAUUCAAAAAAAAUCAAAAAAAAAAGAAAAAAAAAAGGUGAGCAAAAAAAAUCAAGUUAAAAAAAAGUGAAAAGUCUUGCGAGUUUUUAUUUUCUUAUCUUAUUUACUCCGAUCAUCAAGUUUCCCUUCCUACCAUUAUUUACCCAUUCCAACGCCACACUUUAAACAAAAUUUGUUCUUUGUUUAGCCUACCCUACACCUGACGUUAUUUCCUUUGUAAACCAAUUUGAAACCGACCCUCAACCAGUAAAUUAAGUCUACCAAGACAAAUCACGAAAUUGUGAGAAGAGGUUGAGUGGAAAAAGGCACGAGUGAAAUUACAUCAAAGAAAAAGCCAAAAUUUGAAUGUAAACACGAGUGCGAGUGAAAAUCAUUAUUUCCUUUUCGAGCGAAUUUGUGAGGUUUGUGGUAAGGUAUUUAUUUUCUUUAUUAUUUUUUUUCUAACAUCUUCUUGUCAUUACUUAAUCAUGUCUCGAGAAACAUUUCCCGAAUCAGAAUUCCAAUAUUUGAUGCAAGAGAUGCGUAAAAUGGUGAAAUCAAAAUUUGAUAAAUUGCAUGAUCGAUUGGAUCGAGUGGAGGAAAGAGCCCGAUGGAAGCCAAACUCACUGGGUGAAGAGACGGAGACAAGAUCAUCACGAAGGCACACAUCCAUUAAUUUUUUGGGAAGAGAUUCAUACCAUGAUUCCUAUUCAACGAGGAACUCAAGACGAAGCAAAGCAAGUUUUGAGUUUGAAGCUUUCCGAGGUGACGAACGAGAAAUCACAAGUAGUCCUUCGUAUGUGAUACGAGUCAUAAAGGCCCAAUCCAAGUUCAAGAACGUGAUGGGCUCAAAUUGCCACAAGGCCCAAUAACGAGAUCAAAGGCCCGACAAAUGCGGUCCAAACUAAAUGGGACCAUUCAAGAGCUUGUUAGCAAGGCCUUAGAUGCAUACACGAGAGAACAAGAAAAUCAAGAUUCACUUUCUUGUUUUCAAGAAAAUCAAGAAAUCGAAUCUUGGCCCAAUUUUGCUGUUCGAAGAGAUUUCAAGAAUCAAGAAAAUCAAGAUUUCAAAUCUUGGAAAUCUUGGUCCAAGAAACCAAAUCUUGCAGCCAAAACGCAUUGGAUCUCCAUUACGAGCGUCAACGACCCAAUUUUGGUAGGAGAUGGAUCACGAGCCCAAAUUCUUGAAGGCGAGGCCCAAUAACCAAAAUCCAGCCCAAUCAAGAAAUUUCUUCAUACUUAGUUGAAAAUUAGGCCAAAAUGUCAAUGGGCCCAAUUUGUAAACAUCUUACUUGUUUAAUUUAAUUUUUUAAUCUUUAGGAGCAUUACAUGUAAAAUUCGGCCCAAAACAGCCCAUAUAAGUGCAUGGCCGAAUUUACCUUGUUAUUUUAUUAAUUAGGUUUAAUUUUUUAUUAGUUACUUGUGAGAUUAGGAUUUGUUGGAGGCCUAUAUAAGCAUUGGCCAGCCACCCUUUGUAAAAACAUCUUAUUAUUAUUUUUUCUAUCAAAUUUCAAAUUUGUUGAGUGCAGAAUUUUCUUUGGGGUUUUCUCCAAGAACUCUCUCUUGAGUUUUCUUUAGAAGUUGUUUUAACAAUCUUUUGAUUGUGGGAGCCAUCUUCAACCUUCUUCUUGCCAUCGAUAUUCUUUGGAGGGGAGAUUAGAGCCGUUUGAAGAGAUUUGUGAAAUCUUUUGGGAUUUCAAGGAUCUUUAGGACUUAUCCUUUAAUUCUUGCUGUUUUCGAUUUCUUUCUUUACUUUUCUUUGCUUAUACGGUUACCCAAUCAAAUGAAUUUUUUUCGAAUAAUUUUUCUGGGUAAAACUGCUGUUUGUGCUUUAAAAAAUAGAGAUCAGUUUAGAAAUCAACCAAGAACACCCAAAACACCCAAAAUCUGAUACCAAAUGAUAUAGAAGCCUGCGCGCGGACCAAGAUCGAGUUGCCAAGUCACGAGGAAACUCCUACGAAAGAUCCUAGACGAACAGAUCUGAAAUCAAAAACAAAGAUUAAGAUUAAACCAAAUCAGAUUUGAAUUUAAAAUUCCCAAAUUCAAUUAAAAGAGCAGCAAGAAGAAAAGAAAUAGAAUCGAUGAAUCAAACGAAAUUGAGAAGAAAGAAAAGAUGCGAAUCUGCCAAGGAAUUGAUUCGGCCAAGAAUGCCCAAUUUCUUGGCACUGUGAUAGAAUAUAAAAAAAUUCAUCCCGCAAAAAUAUCAGUCAAAAAGUCAAAAAAAUCAAAAAAUACGAAAUUCAAUAAAAAUUUUAAAAAAGAUUCAGCCGGUUGAAUUUGGUGCCCAAACUCUCCAGAUAAAAAAUUAAAUAUAUAAGGACACUCCAGAUUUAAUUUCGUGAUUUUUGGAGAUCAGGAACACCUCGAACGAAGUUGUCAAGUUACUCAGCAGUUUUUUGGGUUUUUCUGUUUUCAGCAAUUUUUAUUGAUUCUUAGCUGUAGGUUUUCAUUUGUUUACCUUUAUUCUUCCUUUACGUUAUCUAACACCUUCUUGUUUCUUGUGUUAGUAGGAUUUAAACGUGUGCACAACUUCUUCCUCGGUGCAACACGAAUCAAUUGGUGUCUCGUCAGUUUUUGGCAUCCUAGUGCAAAUUAGGAUUCUUUGGUAGUUUGGUUCACACUCUCUAAUUGUGAUACGCCCCGGCUCGGGAAGGAGAGUCGAGUCGUAGAUGUGCCCGAUCGUGAAUUAGAGUAAUACUCGAGGGUGGACGAAAUAGGUUAAGAAAGAAGAGAUAAAGGCUCAAAUUUAGUUCAAAAGGGGUUAUGAAAUGUAUUGAGGAUGAUAGGUGAAUGAAAACCAAGUAUUCAAGUUGAACCAACACAAUAUAAGUGUGUUAACCCGGGACUUAUACGAAUACUUAGGAAAGGUUAAAUGUUGUAUGGAUGGAAAACGAAUAAAAUGGAACCUUGACCCACUAUCAAAGAUGAUAGGAACCUCGGUAUAACUUGAACGCCACACUUUGGGUGCAAAGUGAUAAGUUCGAAAUACAAAAACGGGUUGACACCACAAGGGUUACUUGAUAAGUCUAACCAGUCCUUGGAGAACAAUGAGAGUUGAAAACAAACUCACAAAGUAAACAAAUUUCAUAUAAGUUUUAAAAAUAUAUUGUCUAACCCGAAAAUGAUUACAAAGCAACUAUUUAUAGCUAAUAUUGAAUGUCAAACCGAAUGGUCACAAAAGGUAGAUAAAUGGACAGUUUUAGUUUAGCUUAAUUAAGUUGAAAUUGCUUGGAAGCUUCCUUAAUCGUCCCUUGUAGUUUCCUAGGUCACUUGGCUUAGAAAUCUGAAAAGAAAUAACUUCUAGAAUGAGAGGAUUCGGCUGGACAUUGAUGGAGAACUUUAUGGACUAGUCCCGAUUCGGCCUUGAUACUUUAAAAUGGCUUUAAAAGCUUCUUUGGGUAGUGUAAAGUUCGGCCUUGAAGAGAGGAAACGCCAAGCAUGAUGUUGGCCGAAUGGCUACUUGGAAAAACCAACCAACAGCCCUUUGUUGUUCACGAAAAUAGCACCUGCUUCAGCAGCUCAUUAAUGGACGAAUCUUGCAUGCCCAACAGCACCUUAAAUGCAUGCCUAUGCUUUACAUUAAAUUCGGCCAACACCUCCUUUAUUGCUGCUCAUUUAAUUCAUGUCUUUGCUUCCCUUUAAAUGCCGUUCCUUGCAUGUAGAACAACAACUUAAAUGCAUGUCUCCUUUGCCAUUAAGUAGUUGUUUCCAGCUGAAUUAAUUACCUGCAGACACAAAAUAAAUUCGGUCAAGACAUAAAUUAAACCUCAUUAAAUUCGG